GGGCAUUGACGAGGACGGGGAGUGACCGCUGAUGCAAGAGGCACGAAGUGCAAGAGGCACAAACAAGGAGCGGCUCCUGGCAGACUUCCAAUGGAAGGGACACAUGGAAGAAUCGAAAAUAGAGAUUGCAUAGGUAUAAGAUCUAUCUAUAGAUAAAAAAUACACAAAUAAGAAAUAUCAUUUUAUGUAAUUUUAUGUACAGUAGUGGGGAAUUAUGGGACAAAAAAUAAAUCCGCUUAGUUUCAGACUUGGUACAACUCAAAGUCAUGAUUCUAUUUGGUUUGCACAACCAACAAAAUAUUCUGAGAAUAUACAAGAAGAUAAAAAAAUACGAGAUUGGAUAAAAAAUUAUAUACAAAAAAAUAAAAGAAUAUCCUCGGUAGCCAAACCCAUAAGAAUUUCAUGGUUAAGCGUGUUUAACCUGAAGUAAUUUAGGAAAGGAUGCCCUUCUGGAAAGUUUUCUCGGGAAGUGUGCGUGUGUGAAAUUUUCCAACAAGCAAUCACAAAUAGAUAUUUACAAUGUGCUUAGAAAAUGUCAUUGAACAAACAUAGAACUGUAGUCUAUGCAAAUGUAGAAAUGAUGUAAGAUGUCAUGCACAAGAACACCCCAAACUCAAAUUUUUAUAUUGUCCCCAAUGUAUAGAAAAUAAUAAGUGUUAAAAUUAACAAUGAUAAUUGUUAAUGUUAUAUUUAAUUGUAAAAAUGUUUAUAAAGAGUAAAAAAAUUAACAUUAAUUAUUAAAAUUAAUUUUAAUAUUAUAAAAAAAUUGUUUUAGUAAAAUGAAUUUAUUUUUAAAUUUAACAUAAUAUUUUUAAAAUGUAAAAAUUUAGUAUUUAAGUAAAGUAAAAUAAUUAUUUUUAAAAUAAUAUUUUUUGAAAUAAAAUAAUUGCGUGCAUAAAAGAAUUUUAACUGAUAAGCAACACCUUAAUUCCUUGGUGUAAUCUAUAACAUAGGCCAACAGCUGGAGCCUCUUUGACGUUCACUUUUCACUAGAAACUGUAGUUCUAGAUGGUGUACCCACCUUUAUUUUGUUUGUUUUGGUUUGAGUUAUUAACCAUGUUAAUGAAGCUGUAUCUCACUUAUAUACCAUAUAAUCACCAUUUCACAUAGGUAAAGUUUAGUUUUGGAAGCUCACAAAAAGAUAAAGUAAAUAUCAAAUCAACUCAAGAUAUGGUAUGGUAUGGUUCUCUCGAAGCUUGGUGCACGACGCCCUGCAAACAUGACCAAAUCGAAACAAGGGAACCGAAUACAUCAAAUAAAGGAAUCGAAUACAGGGUGCAUCUUUACUAAGGAACUGAAUAUAUAAAAUGGGGAAUCGAAUACAAGCUUAUUUAUAUGUGUGAGUGGAGCUGUAAUCGAUUACGGUUCACGUGUAAUCGAACACGACAAUAAAGAACUGAAAUCCGUUCUUUACUGUGGUAUUUUAAAAUAACUUGAGGGUAAAACUGAUUUUUUAAACAAAAUCCUCUCAAAUCCGAACACAUAGCGGGUGAUAAUAAAAAACUACUCUACUAUAUAUGAAAUAUACCGAUGAGAGUUAAUUGUCAUUUAUAGACAAUUAUCAGGUAUUAAUAGGUCGGAUUGUCUUAUCUUUACAAAUAUAAUGUAUUGAUUAUUAAUUAUUGGCUUUGAUUACCUAGAAAUAUAUUGCAUUAAUGUUUAAUCAAUGGACCUGGCUAUCACAAGUCCUAUAAACAUACAAUGGAUGUAGAAGUACAAUCAUCUUCUUCUACACAGAACUCUUUAUGAAACAUAUCUUACUUGGGUGUCGAAGUGUCUUCUGCAGGUCAACCACCACUCGGGAAUGAUUACUUGAAGAGUUGGUCGAUCGAAGGAGAUCAAAGAAGAACGAUCGAUCCUUGGAACGGACAACUUUAAAUGUUUUGGGUUAGGGAUCUCAAUUCAAUCGAAACAAUUACAUAUCUCAUAAAUCCGUUUAAAUCAUUCUUCGCAUCUAUCUUCAAACGAACAUGUUUUAUUUCCUUAAUAAACACUUACAUUUCCUUUUGAACUGGAAAUGUGAACAAAGCAUAAAUUUUUUGAACACAAAUUCAACCUAGCUGUUAUAUUUAAAAAUAUCUAAAAGUACAAAAUGAAAAAAAACAUAAAGAAAACUUAUACAAGUAAAACAUCACUUAUUUUUUUUUUUUAGAGUGAAUGAUAUGUGAUUGACAUUAUUACCAAUGCGUCAAAUUAAAUAUAAAGAUAAGAGAUUUACGAAAAAAAAAAAUCUUUUAUGAUAUGUUCACUUGAAAUGAUAUAUUUGGAUGAGAGAUAGUUGAUGAAUUUGAAGAGAUUUAGAAGUAAAUUGAUUGUUGUUAUUUUAAGGGAUUUGGAUGUGGGUGGGGAUGGAUUUAGAAAUAAAAAUUGUUGACUGAUGUGAUAUAUAAAAAAAUGGUUUAAUUUGAAGAAAUUGAAGAAAAUUAUUAAAAUAAUCGUAAAAGUGAAAGUAAUAUAAAAUAAUAAUUGUUAAUAUUAUAUAAUUGUAAAAAUUAUUAUAAGAAGAGAAAAAAAUAAAAUUUAAUUUUUAAAAUUAUAUUAUUAUUAUUAUUAUAACUUUUAUUAUUAUCAUUAUUACUAUUAUAAUAAUUAUUAUUAUUAUUGUUUCGGUUAUGAGUCCCGAGACCGAAGACACUUCAAGUUCUCUUUCACUCUGACGUUCUUUCCACGCUUAUCGAAAAUCUCUUCUUCGAUGCCGAACGGUUGUGACCUGCAGGGAAACACUCUGACGCAGGGUCACAAGAAGGUGAAUGUGUGUAUAAUUAGAUCAAAAGUGAGUUACCUUAUUGUUAACUUUGUAUUUAUAGGCAUUAGACCCAAUCAUCCGCAUUAACUGCCUGUAAAUACUAUAUCUUUUGUUUCCCUUUCGUAAUAUUCGUCAAUUAAGACCAUUAAUUACCUUUUAAUGUUGCCUUCAAGGUUUCAUCAUUGUUCAACUGUCUAUUCGUACUUCUUCAGUCUAAACCGACCGGUCUCUUAUCGUCUUCGUCCUGACCGGUUGAUCGCCUCCCUCUGAGCCGUCUAUCCGUACCUCUUCAGUCUAUAGUCUUCGUCCUAAUCGGUCAACCACCUCCCCCUAAUACACAAUAAUAAUUAUUAUUAUUAAUCGAAAGAGAAAGAGAGAAUUUAUAAAAGAAACGUGAAGCACUUGAGAUAUGACUUUGUGUAAAAUACUCAUUAUGGAUGGGUCUCAUUCUCCACCAAAACAUAUAGAUUAAUAGGUAUUAGAGAUUUGGUGUAUUAAGGAACCCAAAACACCACAAGGGGAACUGAAUACAAAACCUUUUUUAUUUGUGCAUUGAACGAGAAUCAAAUACGUACGGUUCAGCAGGAACCGAAUACAGGCAUCAGGGAACCGAGUAUUCAACCUCCUUCAAGUUAUCUUCUUUAUAUUCAAGCUGUCUUCUUCAUCUUCAAGUUUUCUGAUCUUCAUCUCGAGGACAAAGUUAACUUUUAAAAGUAAAUCACUCCAAAUCCAAACAGCUUCGCGAUAAAAAAAUAUAUAUCUCGCAAACCUUCGUAAAUUUUUCUUUUGCAUAUCUGUUCAAACGAACACAUCCCAUCCCUCAAAUCUAUUUUCACUUUUCUUCUUCAAUAUAGUGUAAUCAUCUCAUGUAAUCACAGCCUUAGUAUUAUAUUUGACAUGUAUUCAUAAACUAAAACCUGCACGUCUAAAGUCAUAAAUCAUAGGAGGAAAAUAAAUCAGUCGCAGAAUGAACUAGUGUAAUUGUGAUGUAUAUCAAAUGAAUUAAACUGAAAAAAAUAAUUAAAAGUUAUUAUAAAAGAUAUACCAGCAAUAAAACAGGUGUGAAUAUUAAUAAUUAUUGUGUUGGAAAUAAUCUUACAAAGGUACAACGCGGAAAAUUUCAAUCUUACAAACAUAAACAACAAUUUAUUUUGGACUGUUGUAUGCAUUCAAUUGUCAAAAGUUUAAGUUGGUAUAUAUGCCACUUGUUAUUUUGUCCUUCACCUCUUAUGCAAUGUACUAUACCUUAUUUCUAUUUUUCAUGAAUGACCAUAUAUAAUUAUAUUAUAUGCCAGGGAUUGCAACUUCAUAUCAAUGAUCAUUUGAACUCAAAUAAUUGAAAGAAAAAAAAAACAAAAAUUAAUGUCACAAACAAUUGAUUGUAGUGACUUAUUUCUAACCGAUGAAUAUUUUCAAUUUUUUGAAUCAAUUAUUGAAUAAUUAAUUUACAUUUUUUAUUAAGAGUCAUUGUCGAUUUUACAACUGUUAGAUACAUUACCCAUAAAACAGUCAGCACACAGCACCCUUCUAAAGCAUAUCUUCCACCAUUUUUUUUAAUCUUUUAAUCAGCUUCACGAUCCAAUUGAAGAAGAAAAGGUUAUACACGUAUGUUAUUAAUUAAAUUAGGGCUUUAUCAUCACUUUGCUACGCAAACACAAGUCAAAGUAGCCAAGGGUAAGGACCAAGCUAAACAUGUCAACCCAAGAAAUUAAAGUUUCGUGCCACGUAUACCAAUUAACCCUAAUGUGUGGUAUUGAGGAAAUAAAAUAAUCUACAAUAUAGAUUGUGAUUUGGAUUCCCUUUUGUCCGUACUUGAACAACCCAUCAAUAAUUGCAAGUUUGCAAUUGAUGUUACAUCAAUUAUGGAAUAGGUUAACGUCACGGAAGUUAAAUAGUGGACAACCAAAGCAUAUGUGGAACUUGUUUGUGUUUUUUUGAAGAUAAUACACGAUUUUUACGGGAUAAAAAAACAAAACAAAAAAUUCGGUAUUUUGAUGUGUAGAAAUUUUAGGAGAAGAAUGAAAUGUCAAGUACAUUUUUUUUGUUUUAUAGUUGUAUAUUUAUAAGAUGUCAUGUAAAUUUUGAAAAUGAAUUUAAGAGAAACAUAGAAAUGGAAAGAAAAACCAUAACAUGAACCUAUAUUAAUCAUGCUAUUUAAGAUUUAACUAAUAGAAUUCGAACUAAAAAUUCAUAAUUUAUUAUGUGUGUUGUUGUUUGGACAUUUCCGUUGAUAUUAAGAGUGGUAUAACAAAGAUGGCAAGUGUUACAAGUUAACAUGUUACUCUAAUUGAUGCAAAAUGGAUUCGGGAACUUUUCAUGCUCGUGAUGUUGUUGUGAUGUUGGCCAUGUCUUCCACUAGAUCUCCAAUUUAUGUACGUAAGUAACACACAUAAUAAGAAAAUGGCAAGUGCUACAAGUUGACAUUGCCCUUUUUGAUCGAUGCAAGGUAGAUGUUGGGAUGUUGGGCAAGUUGUGAUUUUUAGCCUUUAUAAUGCACCAAAGUGUCUGGCUUUUAAUUGUGGUGUACUUGUUGGGGAUGGAUCCAUUGAUAAAAACAAUGAGAAAUAACACUAUGAAAAAUCGAAUUUACUGUCGAUAAAAAUAUGCUAUAAAAUAAUUUCAGCGAAGAUAAAAGUAAUAUUUUAAAUUAUCUUAUUUGUUUUAUAGCAGAUAUUUGAUUUUUAAUAAAAUUACACAUUUUUUAAUACUAGAUGUUUAAAUUCAGAACACUAUAAUUGCAAUAAUGACGUUACUUUUGGCCUCAUAAAAAGCUGUGGUUUUAUCAUCUAGUUCCCAAAGGAUGAACAAGAUAUGCGAAUAUUUGGGGGGCUUCAAUCACGAAUCACGAAUCACAAAUAAAAAUAAUACAAUGUAUUGGUCUACUAGAUUGGAAUAACCUAUUUUAUAUAUUCAUGAUAAAUAUAUAAAUCCAAUUUAGAUAAAAAGUAAACAAUAAAUAUAAUAUUAUAUAAUAAUAAUAAUAAUCAAUGUUGUUUACAAUAAAAUAAUAUUUCAAAUGUUUAUCUAUUUUUUUUCCUGAAAUAGUAAUAAACAAUAUACUAAUAUUUAUUUUAAAAUUUCCAUACCCAAUAUUCUUUUUUAUAAUUGGUGGUGAAGAAGCAGAGUUCUGAGAUCCUGUUUGGGCUGCUUGGUAGCAGUUCAACUUCCAACAUGUUCAUAAUUUCACUCAAUUAUAAUACUACUUGCUUCCCAGCUAUUUAAACUUACCCAAUAGUUUUGCGUGCAAUUUCCUUUCCCUCUGGGUAACCAAAUUAGCACUUACCAAUAAUCCGUAUAAAAUCUCACUUAUUCAAAUUUAUUUUAUAUUAAAUCAAACUCUCCUUUUUGAAAAAAAAGAGAGUUUAAUUUGGUUUAUAAUAAUUUAAACUAAACUUUAUCACCUUCAUGACUCACUCCAUAAUAUAAGCAAAAAAGAAAAGUUAUUUGGCCAUUGGAGGGAGAACAAUAAUUUAAAACAGGUUUAAUAGUUUGCUAUUAAAAAAAAAAAAAACUAUUGUAUUUUGCCAGAACAUUACAUGCAAUUGAUGUUUUCCGACAAAAAAACUAUUGUGAUUUUCCUCAAAGAAUUGACGUAUUUAUCUCAGAAUUGUCUAGAUCAAUUCAAUGCUCCAAGAAUCCAGCUUCAACACUUCAUAAUCACAUGUGUCCACGUAAUCAUCGACGUCUUUUUUGGCCGCCAUUAUCAUCACAAUGAUCUUCCUUCUUUCUACAUCAAGUCACAAUCACGUCACCACGUCUGGGAUCCAACGCCUCACAACACUCCACGUGUCGGAAUCGGAAUGCACACCAAGACUCCGCCACGCUAUAAAAGCCACCUUACUUCGCAUUCAUUCAAUAUCUCGCACCAAAAUUUGAGAAGCUAGUGAUCAAUCUUCAGCCCUGUGCUGAGUGUGUUUCUCCGCUCCCCCAUCUUCUUCCAUUGGAGGACCUUCUCCUCCAGGAAUAGGAUAACACUUUUUCUCUUCUCCAAAUUCUUAAGUUAACUUCCUUCAUUAUCACCUUCUCGUGACGGUAACUUUGGUGAGUUCAGUUUUUCGUUGCGUAGCAGUAAAUGUAAUUUUACUUGGAGGAGAUUUAUGAAAUCUUGCUUUGGAUUGCGCGUUGGAAAUUAAGAUUUUCUUUUACUAUUUCGGAGGAGACCAAGUACAACGUCGGGGUCACGCUAGAUCUCUCUAGAUUCUGUUAAAGUUGUCUUUUUUUUUUCGUUGACAAAACUACCCUCGUGUCUUAAGGAAACUACACUGUUAGUCAGUACUCCCAGAUGAUUUCUGAUGCUAUUUUCUUUUGUUGCAAACUCAGCCUUCCUAAAAGGAAGAAAAAGAAACUGCACCGAUUAAUUAUAAAAUUCUAUUUCAGAUGAAGUUUGGUUUUAGCUUUUGCUAUGCUCUAACUUCGCCUUGUUUUUUAAUAUGUUGUCAUUUUCAUUAACCAAUAGUGAGACCAGAGUUAGGGAGAAGUAUAGCAACAAAGCACGUUUGCACUAAACGACAAAGAUAAAAAAGGAAGGAUCAUAUUUUUGUAGGUUCAUUUUAGAGUUUGAUUGUUAAUUUUCUUCCAACUUUUGGGGUAUAGGUUAAAAAGAUGACGGUGCUAAAGACAACACCAACGCAGUUCCCUACGUGGAUUCCUCCAUUCCGUGAACCACGUCGCUGUCUAUCUAACAUGUGCUUAACCUUUAGCAUCCAUCACCAUCGUCAUAAGCCCCUAGGUCUAUAUUACGAAACUCCUUAACAAUUUUAGACUGAUGAUAAUGUACAUAAAAAAUCAGCUUAUGUGGUAUUUUGUAGCUUUUGGAGUCUUAAUAAUCGAAUAUUUGUAAAUUUUGUUGAGAUGCAGUGAAUUUUAAUUUUGAUAAUAUAAUAAUCUGUGUUGUUUUGGUUUGGUCAUACAGUUGUGAAGUGUUCGAAAAUGACUGUCACUCCUAAGAUCUCCGUCAACGAUAAGAAAUUGGUUGUUCAUGGCAAGACCAUAUUAACCGGAGUACCGGACAACAUUGUGCUCACUCCAGGAUCUGGAGGUGGCCUAGUGACUGGUGCUUUUGUUGGUGCUACUGCUUCCCACAGCAAAAGUCUCCAUGUGUUUCCAAUGGGUGUCUUGGAGUAAGUUCUUCUUGCUUUUCCUCACUCACAUGCAGUCUAUAUCACAUCCAACAUGUUCUAUUUUCAGCAGAGAAAAUAACGAAAUUGUUAUAAUUUACAACAUGAUGGUGAAUAUAAUUUGCUCAAGUAUAUAUAAGCGUAGAAAAUUUGACAGUAGCAAGUUAAACUGGAUGUGUGUUUGGAUCUGUAACCAUGAGUGUAGGCUUUGACAUUACAUGAAUUGGUGAUUUCUAAUUUCUCAUUUCUGAUAUAAUCUUGGAAUAGGGAGCUCCGGUUCAUGUGUUGCUUCCGGUUCAAGUUAUGGUGGAUGACUCAGAGAAUGGGAACUUGUGGGAGGGAUGUUCCACUGGAGACACAGUUCAUGCUGAUUGAGAGCAAAGAGAGUGAAGUGGAUGGAGAGAAUUCUCCAACCAUCUACACUGUCUUUCUUCCUCUUCUCGAAGGUCCAUUCCGAGCUGUUCUUCAAGGCAACGACAAGAACGAGAUAGAGAUUUGCCUCGAGAGUGGUGAGUAACUCUUAGCCAUGCAAAAUGGUUUGGCGGUGAAAGGCUACAUGGAAGUCUUCCGUCGUGUCAUAACAUAGUUUAGUGCCAUAGCUGCUGUUAAUUCAGUUCCUUCCCUUCCCUUCAGCCAUACUUUUAAGGGGUGGAGCUGUCAUUUGUGGAUUGAAUUGAGCUGGAUAAACUUCUCUCGAUGAGUCAAUCAAUUGAAUCAAACAAAUGGAGUUUAUAGCUUUGGUCCUUUGGAGAAAAUAUAUAUAUAGCAUGGCGUCCCAAAGAACCGAAACGACCCUUUUCUUUUUGGUAUGUGGUAUGGUUUUGCAGGGGAUAACGCGGUUGAGACUGAUCAAGGCCUUCACCUAGUUUACAUGCAUGCUGGGACCAACCCCUUUGAAGUCAUCAAUCAAGCAGUGAAGUAAGGCACCCCCGUUUGUGUUUUCCAUCUAAAUUGAUUUAAAAAAAAUUAAGUGUAUGCUGACGAUUAUAUUUUACUGAUUCCUUCUCUUGUUCUUUCUAGGGCUGUGGAAAAACACAUGCAAACUUUUCUUCACCGUGAGAAGAAAAAGGUAAGACCCUUUUCUCAUGGCUCUAGCUAUUAUGCCAAGCUAAUACAUAACGGAUCCUUUUAACCUUUUAUUGUUGGUUUUAUGCAGUUACCCUCUUUUCUUGACUGGUUUGGUUGGUGCACAUGGGAUGCUUUCUAUACUGAUGUCACAGCUGAGGGUGUAGAGGAAGGCCUGGAAAGGUAAUUAGUGAGAGAAAUUGAGUACAUGUUUCUCAUUAACUGAAGAAAAGAUGAAUUUUGAAGAUAAUGUUUAUAGAACACCGAAAUUUGUUCAAUAUGAUCACAGUCUAUCUGCGGGAGCUACACCACCACGGUUCCUAAUCAUAGAUGAUGGCUGGCAACAGAUUGAAAGUAAACAAAAGGAUGUUGACUGUGUUGUACAAGAAGGGGCACAGUAAGAUUUCUCUGUUUUUGUAAUUAAUUACUAAUUAGUGACAUUUUCCUUAAUUCAAUACCUAUCUCAAUUAUGAAGUCCUAAUGUUCAAGAGAAUACCAAUUGUUAUUUUUGUAAUUUAUCUGAUUAAAUCACUAUAAACCAUGAUGAUUGCAGGUUUGCUACUAGGCUGACUGGUAUUAGAGAGAAUACUAAAUUUCAGAAGAAAACACACAACAGUGAGCAAACAUCAGGUCUGAAGCAUUUAGUAGAAGGAGUAAAGCAGCAUCACAACGUGAAGUAUGAUCAUGGAUCUUUUAAUCCUUUUCAAUAUUGUUCAAGUAGCUUGGCUAAUCAAGUUUCUGACUUCUUGAUUGGUUCCUCUGUUCAUGAACAGAAAUGUUUAUGUAUGGCAUGCAUUAGCUGGUUAUUGGGGUGGAGUGAAACCAGCAGCAACUGGCAUGGAGCAUUAUGACACUGCCUUGGCAUAUCCAGUGCAGUCACCAGGUGUGCUUGGAAACCAACCAGACAUUGUCAUGGACAGCUUGGCCGUACAUGGCCUAGGCCUAGUGCACCCAAAGAAGGUUUUCAAUUUCUACAAUGAGCUCCAUGCUUACUUGGCUUCUUGUGGAGUGGAUGGAGUGAAGGUUGAUGUGCAGAACAUUAUUGAGACCCUUGGUGCUGGACAUGGUGGAAGAGUCUCUCUUACACGAAGCUAUCAUCACGCUCUUGAGGCUUCCAUUGCUCGUAACUUCACUGAGAAUGGAUGCAUUGCUUGCAUGUGUCACAACACUGAUGGCCUUUACAGUUCCAAGCAGACUGCUGUUGUGAGAGCCUCUGAUGAUUUCUACCCUCGUGAUCCUGCUUCCCACACCAUCCAUAUUUCUUCUGUUGCAUACAACUCACUUUUCCUUGGAGAAUUCAUGCAACCAGAUUGGGACAUGUUUCAUGUGAGUAGAAAUGUGCAACUCAUCUUAAUUGAUAUUUUACCGUAUCUUCUUUUUUUUCUUCCUUGGGAAUGUUUCAUGAGCUAUAAAUAUUCUUGUUAACAAAAAGAUCUGUGAUUUCAGAGUUUACACCCUGCAGCAGAAUAUCAUGCUGCGGCUCGUGCAAUUGGUGGAUGUCCAAUUUAUGUGAGGUAUAGUGAUGUUCAUUCAUUGCACUUGCACAUAUUUUCAUUACAUGAAAUUGGCACCAUUGUUAUGCGAUUCUUUUAUUUAUUUAUCAUGUUUUUCCAGUGACAAGCCAGGCUACCACAAUUUUGAUCUUCUUAAGAAACUGGUUCUUCCUGAUGGUUCGGUUCUCCGAGCACAAUUACCAGGGAGGCCAACUCGUGAUUCUCUGUUUGUUGAUCCAGCCAGAGAUGGGACUAGGUUUGUUUAUCUAAAUCUUCAUUCUUUAUAAAGCUAUGUUCCAUAGACAUGUAUUAAUGACUCAUUUAAUAAACUACAAUUUUCAGCUUGCUCAAAAUCUGGAACAUGAACAAAUGUUCUGGAGUUGUUGGUGUAUUUAACUGCCAAGGUGCUGGGUGGUGCAAGAUAGAGAAGAAAACUCGCAUCCAUGAUACAUCUCCCGGUACACUAACUGGCUCUGUCUGUGCCUCUGAUGUUGACCUUAUCACCCAAGUAGCAGGUCCUGAAUGGCUUGGAGAGACAAUUGUUUAUGCUUAUAGAUCAGGUACUAUUAAUUUACUCUGUCAUUCCCUUACCAUCAGUUUUAAUAUUUACAAAGGAUGUGUAAUACAAGAUGAAAUAACUAUCUCGAAAUUUCAGGUGAGGUGAUUCGGCUACCAAAGGGGGUUUCAGUUCCGGUGACACUGAAAGUUCUUGAGUUUGAACUUUUUCAUUUCUGUCCAAUCCAUGUGAGGAUCUACUAUUAGCUUUGAUGUAUGCUUAACUUUGAUGUAUGCUUAACUUUACUACUAUUGUUUUAUUGAACAGGAAAUAGCACCAGGUAUUUCAUUUGCAGCGAUAGGGCUACUUGAUAUGUUCAACACUGGAGGAGCUGUGGAGCUGGUUGAAAUUCACAGAGCCUCUAACAACAAACCAGAACUGUUUGAUGGUGAGGUGUUAUCAGAAUUAACCUGUUCUCAGAGUCCUAACCGAGCAGCAGCAGCAACUGUUUCUCUUAGAGUCAGGGGAAGAGGCAGGUUUGGAGUUUACUCCUCUCAACGCCCAGUGAAAUGUGUAGUAGAUGGCUCUGAAACAGACUUCAACUAUGAGUCAGAGAGUGGGUUGGCAACCUUCUCCAUCCCAGUUCCUCAAGAGGAGAUGUAUAGAUGGGCAAUAGAGAUCAAAGUUUGAGUCUUUUUUGAAGACCUGGUGUUUGAUGAAAUGCCGUGUCAGGAAAAGGGUGCUGCUGUAGUUAGCAUUGACUCAUUGAGGGAAUUGUUGGGGACAUGGGGGUGGUGAAAUACCAAAAAAUAAGUUGAUCAUAAGAACUGAGUUGUCGAGUAGCUAUGUUGUAGUAGGGAAGUGCUUUUGUUGUAAUUUAAUGCAUGUAGUUGAGAGUAGCAUUUCAUCAGUGGGAGAGAGGAACACAUAAUGAUGUCAAUCAAGGAUGUCCCAUGUUUUUUUCCUCUGAAUAAAAAGUUCACAUCUGUUCGAGUUUUAUGUCAGUUAAGGAUGUCAGUAACAGAUUUAAAAGGUAAAUUUGGAUUAUAUGAUAUCUCAAUGAUUUGAGUUUGCCGUACACAAUAAUAAUAUAAGCAGUAAUCUAGAAUUCAAUGCGCUAAAACAAUACGCAACAGUGAAGAAGGACGCUAAUUGAAAAGAUAAAUCUAAUCAAACUUUGUGAACGUACCAUUAACUUCAACUAGUUCUUACCUUGCCCAGAAAAAUGCUAAGAUGGAAUGGAAGGUUGUGUAGCAAAUACUUCCAUUUCAACUUUUUAGAUAAUUUGAUUUUACAUUUCAAGGCGUUUAAAUAUUUUAUUUUUCAUUUUUAAAAUUUUUAUUUUGACACGAUUUAUUUUUAUUUUUCAAGAAAUUUAAAUAUUUUAUUGAAAUAAACACGAUUCAAAUUUAUUAAGUUUUGAAUUUUUUUUUAUUUGGAUAUAAUAUUUUAAUUACAAAAAUAUAUCUACACAACAUUUGUGAUGUCUAUGAAAAAUAAUUUAUAUAGACAUUGAUAAAAUAGUUGAUGUUGUUUAAAAAAGUAUCUCUUUAUAUUUAAUUAAUGGGAUUCUCAAGCAAAAUGAUUUAAAAAUAGUUUUAGCCUACAUUAAUAAAUAAAUAAUCAUAAAAAUAUUAAUUGGAAAAUCACUUUUAUCAACAAUAAGUAUAAGGGUAGGAUGGACAAAGUGCAUUAUACUACAUUGUACUAUAAAAAUUUAUAAUAAACUAUAAAACAGUUCAAGAAAACUGAACUAAAAAAUAGUUCAAAGUAACUGAACUAAAAAAUAGUUCAAAGUAACUGAACUAAAGUAAUUUUUAGUUUACUUAUAGUGUAGUCACUUCAGGGAACUAUUGUUUAGUUCAUUAUAGUACACUUCAGUGAACUAUUGUGUAGUUUGAUGCAAUAGUUACAUAACUUUACGACUUAUGCUAUCAAUCUAGUCUUAUUCGGGGAUGUAGCUGUCUUGAUCAAUUCACUUAUCAAAUAGAUAAAUCUUGACCCUAUUCUUUUCACAUGCAUCUUGCUUUUCAGUUGGCAAACAUAUCACACAAUUUAUCAUUAUUAUCUACUGGUUUAGUGUGGGGUGAGACUUCAAAUCGUGGUUACAAGGACCAUACAAAGUCAUAGAAGUCCUUAUUUUUCACAAAUCGAAAAGGAAGCUCGGACUUCACAAACAUCUUCACCAACUUCAUUCGAUAUGCAUUUUGGUCAAAUUUAGAAAUAGUUGGUGAAGGACUAACACUAACUUAUGUAAUUGAUGAUUAAAGCUUUUGUCUUUUGAAUGCUUUUCUAUUAGGAUCUUUUUUGCAUCUUAUUGAAUGAUUCUACAUCUUACUUGUUCUAAUCAAAUAUUUAAUCAAAUCAUCACAAUAAUUACAUUUAGUUUUUUUUUCUCAAAAUAAAGCUUUUGUUUAAUAAAAUGUUCCCACACAAUCGACUUUUACUAUUGUUAGUUGAAGAAGAAUCCGUACACUAAGAUUUUAGAAGUAUUUGGUAUAAAUGUUUCUAUAAUUUCUGACAUUUACAUCACUACUAUUAAUUAAUACUCCAAUCAUACAAAAAGCAAAUAUAUCUAAAAGAUAUACCUACUGAUGUUAUCAAUGUGUUACCUACACUUUUUUAAGAUAGUUUAUACAAUUUGUGGUGGAAAGAAUAAGGACACUUUUAACUUUUGAGUGUGACUAUGUAUCAACCAGAGAUAUUUUGUUACAGUUUGGAGAUAGAAAAUUUAAAUAUUUGCCUUCACAUUACUUAUUACUAAAAGGUAUACAUAAUUGAUGCUGCAAUGAUUCGAAUUUAUAAAUAAUAGAAAAAACAUUGGAUUGGAUUUUAGAGUUACUAAUAAUUCUAGAAUAAAUUUUAUUUUCUUCUUGGAAAGAUUCUGCAGUGAUGAUUCCGUCCAAGAGAAAUUAUCACAUUUUUUUUUUACUAUUUUAACAUCAGAAUUGGUAGAGCAGUUAUCCAAAAGUUAACGAGUAAAAAGAAGAACAUGAUGUUAUACUUUGCUAAUUUAUUGACCAAAAAUGAAAGUGAAAUGGCUCUGUAUUCACAUUACACGCCCCGUGAAAGAAGAUUGAAAAAAAUGAGUGUUAUAUACAGUGACAUGAAUGAGAGUGAGUCAUGAAAUGGCAACAAUAACAAUCCAUGGUAGGGUAUGCUAUUGACGUAUGUAACUGUAACUUGAUGAUCAAACGCCCAAUCAAAAUAAUAACACUUCCCCCCAUCCUAUGUGAAAGUGCCAAUAUAACAAUAAAAGGUAUGUUCACCAGUGAUGAGAAAUUAUAAAGAAUAACGAUAUUUUGACUUAUUUAACAAUAUUUUAACACUGUCUACGAAUCAUUUUAUAAUUAAUUCAUGUGAGUUUAUGAUUAUUAUUAUUGAUUAUAAAAUAAUUUUAGAUCAAUCAUAAUAUAUAAAUAAUAUUAAAAUAUUAUAAAAAAAUAUUGUAAAAAAUAUCAUUAUCCGAUUAUAAAUCAUAUACAUAGCCACAACAAUUAUCAUCAAAUAUAUAUAAGUUUCAACUCGGGUAUUAUUCAAAAUCCUGCAUUUAUAUAACAUAGAAGAGAAUAGUCUAAAUACGGAAUUUGUGGAACCAUAUUAAUGUGAUUAUCUCCAUGGUCCAAUCUGAAAGAGAGUAAUAUUGCUCAAACUCUUAUUUAAUCUAAAACUAUAUAAAUUUUCAAAAUUAAUUCAGUUUAAAGAAUUUCUCCACAAUACAUACAAUAUUUGGUAUAAAUAAAAAAUUAUAUAAAUUAACUUGUGGAAGUUAUAUUUAUCUAAAGCUACAAUUAUUUUCCUCCUUUUCUUUGUUUUGGAUAGGAUUGCAAAAUAUUGAGUGGUAAAUAAAAACUAACUCCUUUUACUCUGAAAAAUAUAUUCCUUUGCAUUUUUUUUUUUAUUUUUAAAGUAAACCAACCUAUUAUGGUUUCGAAACUACAUUAUGGGAAUAUCUUGUGCAAAAUUAAUUUGCUUGAAAAGAACUAAAUAAGGCAUAGAGGAAGAUAUUAUUGAACAUCUCACAUUCCAAAUAUGUAAUUUCUAUUACAACUUUUUUAAUUACGGUAGGCUUAAACCGUCCUUUGGUCCUAAUAUUUGUGUGAAAAUCUCAGUUCGAUCUUCAAGUUUUGAACUGUCUCAAUUAAGUCAUAAUUUUUGUAAAAAUGCACAUAUUUUACCCUAACCGUUAAGUUGUCUCAAACGACGUUAAUUGAUUUUGAGAUGUAUUUUUCAUUUUAGGCUUAACCUCUCCCUUGAUUCUUAUGUUUGUGUGAAAAUCUCAGUUCGGUCCUCAAGUUUUGAACUGUCGGCAACAGCGACAUUUUUUAGUUUGAGAGGGAAAAAAGGUGUCAGUCGGGGGGUUUGAGGGUGGAGGAAUGAAUGAAAUGUGAUAGUGAUUGGAAGGAAAAAAAAACAUAGCCACAUGGAUUUAAUGAUUUUAAAACAUAAAAAAAAAAUUACAGCUCAGUUCAAAGUUAACGUCGUCUCAAUACACUUAACGGUUGGGGUAAAAUGUUGUAAAAUGUUUGCAUUUCAUAAGGACUUGAGAAAAAACUUGAGGACCGAACUGAGAUUUUCACACAAACAUAAGGAUCAAGGGAGGGAUUAAGUCUAAAAUAAAAAAUACAUCUCAACAUCAAUUAACGCCAUCUGAUAUCGGUUAACGGUUGAGGUAAAAUGUGUGUAUUUUUACAAAAAUUAUGACCCAAUUGCGACAGUUCAAAACUUGAGGAUCAAAUUGAGAUUUUCACACAAAUAUUAGGACCAAGGGAGUUUAUAAGCUUUUUUUGUUUAAAUUACAACUAGAUAAGACUAAAACCAUUUAUUUAAUUGCUUUGGACAACUUUUUCAAUUCGUAUAAUCUCAAAAUAUUUCAGGAUUACUAAUUGUUAUCAUUUAUAAAAAAAAAAAAUUUAACCAAUUCUAUUUCCUGAAAAUUAUAUUAUUUAAAUUUAUGAAAAUAACCACAAAAAGGUAGACUAAUUUCAAUAUAUGGUUUUGUUGUUUUUUAAUAAAAAAAAUCGGUGGUAACAAGACAAGUGGCAUGAAUGGACUUGAAAACAUUUUCCUUCUCAUCUUCAUUAUGUCUUUUGCAUUUUAGAUAUAGCAAAAUAAUUUUUCUUUGAGUAUUGCAGACUCAUUCAUAAUAAAAAUUACUUCUCAUGCUUUUUAUGAAAAAAUGCAGAGAAGUUCGUUUGACAAUGAGAACAUUAGGAAAUUUACUAUUCUUGAAAUUUGAGACGGAAAUACGUGAGGAGACAAUGAAAUUUGGAAUCAAUAUAAUAUCUUAAUAAAAUAAUAAUAUUGACAUAUUUUAAUAAAAUAAUAAGUUUAACUAUCUUUAAAAAAAUAUAAUUAUGGAUGACUUUUACAUGUAAAAAUUCCGUUAGUAUUAAUUUUAAAUAAUUAAAUUAUAUCAUAAAUAUUUAUAAUGUUAAUUUCUUUCAAAAUUUUAUAUAGUUCCUCCACGAACACGAGGCCCAAUAUAUCAAUAGAUAUCGGCUUUUAUUUCCUGCAACCUCACAAUUUAUUUGUGAACCUCCAAAUUUCAAAAUGACUAUUUUACCCAUUCUAAAAGUGAUUUCUAGAUUAUAUAUUUUAGAAAAUAUUUAGAACAAGUUUUUAAAAUUUUCAAAAUCAAAUUUUCGAACUAAGGUUUCCAGAACAGAAUUUCUAAAAUAAAAUUUUCAAAAUGCAUUAUGGAUCAAAUUUUUUAGAAUAAAAUUUUCAAAACAAACUUUUCGAAAUGCAUAUAUUGUCAUCUUAAACCACUUUUCUAAAAAUAUCUUUUGAUGAAAUAUGUUCCAUGCAAAGAAUUUUUCACAAGAUUUAAAAUGUAUUUUUGAAUGAGUUUUUUUUUUUUUUAUCGAUCUUUUUUUUCUAACAACUGUAAUUAUGAAAGUGACAAUAAUAAUAAUAGUAACAUCGUUUUCUAUACAUUAGAAUACAAUAGACUUCUUUAAGUUUAUGUAUAAAUUUUAGUCUUUCUUGCAUAAUAAAUUCUUAAGCUGUAGAAUUGUUUAUAUAUAUAUAUAUAUAUAUAUAUAUAUAUAUAUAUAUAUAUAUAUAAUUUGAUGGAUUUAGUCUUUUUGGAUAAAGUAAGUCAAUAAAAUUAUUUUGUAUUUAAAUUUUACUUGUUAUAUAUAGGUAACAAUACUAUUAUAAAUGCAGAAAAAACUGAAAAAAAAUUAAAAACUAUUCAUAAUGACAAUUAUAAAGUUUAAUUACAUUUUCUAAAUCAACUACUAUAAGUAAUUGUGAUAAUAAGUUGAACUUUCGAUAAAUGUCUAAAAUAAGUAAAUUUUAAAAUAACUUAGCAUUUAUUUUGUUUUGAUUUUUUUAAUUUUUUUUAAUUCACCUUUACUUAACAUGUUUUUCAAAUUUAAGGAUCAUAAUAGAGUUAAAGUAAAAAAACAAAGAAAUUGGAUUAGAAUCAUGUAAUUUUGGACAAAUUAUAAUUAUUGUAGCUAAGUGGUAGAAACAGGAUAAAUUGUGAUUGAUGUAGCUAAUUGGAAGAAAUGGUGUUAAGCGCCAGAAAGCGGAUAAGGAAGUUCUUAUGAAGAGGAAACCUCAAAACACCCCAAAUGUAACUUGUAUAGCUUGAGUCCAAAAUAUGUGGUUUAAGUCUUAAGAAACACAGUUUGGAAAGAUCUAGAAUGAAACCUCUGUGGCUAAGUGUCAAAGCUAGAGUUGAACACCACCCUUGACAAUUUAUAGAUACAAACUUCAUGUUCUCAUUUUAGGUAUUGAGUGGAGAGCUAAAUAUGUAGUAGUAGUGUAGGCAUACAAUGUUAGAGGCUCGAGAGAGAUGUUUUCAUUGUAAGUCUUAUGUCUAGAUGAUGUUGGUAUUAUUACAUUGCAAUAUUCUAAGAGUAGUAGAAUUCUCUUGUGUCGAAGUUGGAUGUAAUCAAUUAUAACUCUCUAUACUUUUACUUAUUGGAUAUUUAUCUAUGUUUUCAUUUAAUCUACAUGUGAAUUAGUUUAUGCUUGUUGUUGGAUGAAUUGAUCACUCGUUUGAUUUCACUAACUUAGGAUUGAGUAAGAAGUCGUUCCAACUUGUAGUCCAACUAAUUCUCAUUCUGCUUUUAGAUGCUAGGAGAUGUAAGGCUCUAGUUGGUUAUGAAGUCUUGAUCUUAAUGCAAAUGAUUCAUUUAAGCAAUCUGACAUGGGACUAUCCUUUGAUCCUAUAGAAGAAGAGCUUGAGGAAAAGUCAUUGCAAUUCAAAGAACAUAUGACAGUAUCAAGGACCAAACACAAUGCUCCAUGAAUAUUGGAAUUCAAAAGACAUGAAAAUUAUAACUUGGAGCACAAUUAUAGAAUAGUUUAGGCACUUAAAAGUAUUUGUAGUUUUCUUUUAAUGUUCAAACAAAUUGUUUUUGUUUUUAAAUUUUUAAGUUAUUUUUGGGCCCGAUGUUUUUGGGUUUUCUUUUAGGUUUUUUAAGUAGCUUAAACAUUUGUGCUUAUAUAUAGGAGCACCAAAUACACAUGUAGGCACCUUAGUUAGUCAAUAUAUGAAUUUUGAAUUCAGUAAGGGAGGAUUCUCUUGAUUCUUGUGAUAGAACUCUGAUUUUUAUCAAAGACUGACUUCUUUGUGGGAAAUCUUAAUUUACUCAUCACUCAACUAGAUUAUGGCAUCCUCCUACUUUGGUUCUUAUCAAAUAUGGAAAUAUUUGUGACAAAUCUUUAUUGGCUCAUCAAUAUGUUAGAUUGUAGUGUCCUCAUCUCUAUCUUAAUUUUGCAUUCUUCUCUAAUUUACUUUUAUUUGUACCUCUUGAGGAUUCAAAUUCAGAAGAGAUUGCACUUUUUUUUUUAUAGGAUCGUAUCACAAUCACUAAGGAAUCAUAUUGAAGUUUGAUGAUCUUAGGCUUUAAGUGCUAGGAAUAAACCUAGAAUUACAUUUAAAGAGAACUUUCGUGAAUGAUUUGCAUAAGUACAUAGAUAAGAUUAGUAGUGGUGCAAUGGAAGAGGAUGAGAUGACAUCUAGUCAUAACAUCCACUCCACUUAAUCUAUAUAAUAUAUACUGAUGGAUUUUUGGCAUUUGAUAAUUUCUAAAACAUUUUUUGAUCUAUUAAUUAAAUUUAUCAAUAAAUAUUUUUACCAACAAAUUUUUUAUCAUCGAAUAAACUAGAAUUAGUGACAUUUUUUCUAUUACUUACAAUUUUUGUUUAUUACCAAUAAAUUUUGUUUGUCGCUAAUUAAUAACUUUCUUGUAAAAGACAAAGUCUUUGCAUAAUACUCUCAUUUGAAGAAAUAAUUAUACACCACACAAAUGCAAGAAGGUUAUUACAAACAUAUUAAUAAUUCUAAUCAAAAUGUUCUUACUUUAAAAAUAUUUGUGUUACAAUAGAUGACGGUAAUCAUGUUGUUUUUCAUCGAAGUUGUUUGUCAAAAGUUUAUGACAAAUUUCUAAACACAAAUUUUGGGUAGAAGUUCACUAUCCAUGGAGGAAGUGAAAAUGACUUUACAAUCUUAAGGAUUGAAAAAAACAAAUUACCAAUUCAUAUAAAGAAACUAUCUUCGAAGAAUAAAAGAAACAAAGAGAAGUUUUCAAAGAAGAUGGUCUAAAUUAUGUAAAAAAAAUAAGAACAAUAGAUGUCAUAACUAAAUUGAUGUGAGAUAUGUUCUUGAGUUUCGCAAAAGUUUAAUUUCAUUAAGCAUUGUAGGCUUUGUCGAGCAUAUCAAGAUCAAGGUGGAGUUUACAAGUUUCAAGAGGUGUCUUAAUAAUUACGAAGAUGGACAUAUUAUAUUGAUAACCUCCAAACCAUAUGCGCCAAAGUUGUUUUUUAAUGUUUAAUGGUCAGUCUUCGUAUAAUUUGAAGCUUCUCAUAAUGCUCUUUAUAAAUUGUUACAUUAUCUUUAUCAACAUGGCAAGAUGAGGAUUUUGUAAGAUGUUCAUAUUCUCAUUUUUAUUCUCAUGUUUUGAAUUCUAAAUACAUAUUUAUUUAUAAUAAAUUUUUCAAAAAAAUUCAUUAAAUAGACAUAACACAAGUCAAAUUCACAUAAAGAAUAAACAUCAUCUCUAAUAUAAAAGCUUAAGAUUUAUAAUAUGUUUUUAACUUUUUUACUUCUACUUACUUAAAGUCCACACUUUAUUAUUUCCGUCAUCAAUUCACUCAAUUCCUAUUAUUAUGAAUAAAAGAAGAGCUAAAUGAUUUUCUUGUCUCAAACUUCUCUUCACACUAAAUUUCUUAUUGGGACUUCCUUUUUACAAAAUCUCAACAUUUUUUUUCAUAUAAAACAAGUUCCAAUAUAUACAAAAACAUAAUUUUGUUGUCCACUUUAUAAAUUCAACUCUUCCUUCUUGGCAUCGUCUAAUACCUCAUUCUAAUAAAGGACUUUCUAAAACAUUUGUGACUUCUAAAAAAUGCACUUUGCAUUUCAUCGAUAACUUUAUUCGAUGACUAUCUUAUUGUGAAGAAAAAGACGUCUUUAAAACCCAUCUUUUAGUUUGUUUGCAAACUUACACACCAUUUGUAAUGAAUAAUUUAGAAAUAAUUUACGAAAAUAACACAUAUAUACAAUAAUUAGAAAGCAUGUAAUUGAAAAGAUAUCUAACCGAACUUUGUGAACGAUCAACUUCAAGUUCUUACUCAGUUAUGCUGCCAAAGAUAUGGUAAAUAAGGUGGUGGUGUACGUUACGAUAACAUCGUAUCGUGUGCUCCAUACUUAGAGGUUUUCUAUCAAAAAACAAAAAUCAUGAUUACCAUCUCAUGUAACCAACAAAAUUCCUCCAUCUAUUAUCCAAAUAAAUCAUUGGAAAAUUAUAUUUUAAUAUCAAUUUUUCAUUUUAACACUGCACACGUGUUAAAAUGUGGUUGAACAAUUUCAAAUUAAAAAAAACUGAGAUAAGGACAUAUUUGAAAGAGAAAAACCAAAGUUUUUUUUUUAAUUUAAAAUCGUCCAACCACAUUUUGACACGUGUACAUUGUCAAAAUAAUAUCAAAAAUUGGUGUUAAAAUAUCAUUUUCCUAAAUUAUUAUCUCUUUUGGUAGAGGUAACACUCCUUAAUUUAGGCUUUUAUAUAAAUCUAAUUGCAAAUAAUAAAUAUAUGAAAUUGGGAAUAUUAAUUAUGGUUUGUCCAUAGAUAAUAUUAAAGGCAAAGUUUUUUUUUUUAAUCAAACCGCAGGUCUCUUUUCUUAAUAUGAUUCUCUUUCUUAGAACCAGUUGCAUUGUUUAUCAUUGAUUUGUGAAAAAGAUAUCUAUUAGCACAUUAUAUGAACGAUUUGACUCUUUUCUAAAAUUCAUCUCUUUAUAAAAUAAUCACAAAAUCUCACCUAUAACUAGUAAUUUAUGUACAAAAAUUAUAUUAAAUUUACUUGACUUUAUUAUUGAUUCUUUAUGAGACUGUAGUCGAUUAAGAAAAAAACGCCAAACAAAAGAUUAUAAUAAUUUAGUAGAUAAUAGUUUGCGUAUAAAAAAUUAAAAGAUAAUAAUCUUGUAUACCUAGAAACUUUAAGUAUCAUUAUAAUCUUAAUUAUUCAGUUAUUAUAAUAAUUAAUUGAUUAAUUUAUAUUUCUAAUAAUGAUAUAUAUAUAUAUAUAUAUAUAUAUAUAUAUAUAUAUAUAUAUAAAAUCGUAUAUAUAAAUGGUGCGAGGUAAACUCAAGAAUAGAGAUAAACGAAGGUCGUUCUCAAACUGAAGCCAACUCCCUUCUAAAUGAAAGCAAAAUUAAGAUUAGAAAAUAUUGAAGUUGAAUAAAAAUGAUAUAAAUCUAUUUAGAUGUCCAGAUUUAGUUAACAUGCUUAAUCCCUUCUGAUAGAUGGGUUACGUAUUGAAUAAUUCUUACUAAUUACAAACCCUAUCAUGCACAUGCAUAGUUGUUAAGACGGUUUUACCAUAAUGAAAAUUAACCAUUUUUGCUUAUAUAUUUAUCCGUUGAAUACAAGAGAGAUGGAGUUUCAGGGAGGUCUAGCAUUUCAUCAUGACAUGAAUAUAGUGACAAAAGCUAAGGAAACCUUUAGCCACAAUAAGUUAAUGCUAAGUUUCAAAAUGAAAUGUCUUCUACUCCAAAACCAUCUUAAGCAUUUUACGACAACUAAAGCUGUCUUGUGAUAACAAUGCUAACAAAUAUACCAUUGGAAGAAGGAAACCAUAGAUUACACGUUUGAGGUACAUGCGUGUCUCAAAAACCCAUAUUCCUUGUUCUGACAAGUGUUUGUGUGUUGAGCUGCAUACUUCACAAUCAUCACCAUAUAUGCUACUUUCAUAUGAUCAUCGAACAAAGAAAAUUUCCAGAAAUACAAUGAAUCAAGUAUUAACUGUAAUUAAUGUCACGAUCGUCAACCUAUAUAUUCAAUGCCAAUGGUGUACAACGUUAUCUACAUCAGAAUUGAAAGAAUAAUCAUGCAUAAAAGAUUCAAGCUCACGCAACCAUGUUAAUAGUUUAAAACCGAAAAUGAUUACUAGGAGAAAAUACACUGGAAUAUUUAAGCAUUUCAAUGCCAGCACUCAUUAUGUUUUCUUUUAAUACGCAAUGUGUGGGGUGUGCGAUAUUUUCAUGCAUUUAUUUAUCAACAUGGGCAAAUCCUCUCAUGAACGAUGAAUUACUAGCUUUUUCGUAAUUCUUAGGAAUUUUCCAAAAUAUAUAGAAUUUCGUUAAAGAUAUUCAUGGAGCUAAAGGAAGGAUGACACGAAUUAUAGAGAGGGAAAAAAACUUUGAAUUUGUGUUGUCUUGAAAUAUGCUCUAACUAAAGAGAGAUAAUUAUGUUGACACUCAAAAAGAAUGUAAUCACUUGACAACGACAACUUCAUAUAUUAAUAUUUUAAUUAUAUCUUUUUACAUUUUAAUAUAAAUUAUUAUAUCAUUAGAAUAGGUUAUAAAGUGAAUGUAUGUUGUUUUAUGAGGUGUGAAAGUAUAAUUUUUCAAAAUUAAAUAGCCAAUCAGAAAUCGAAAUAUAUAAUUGUUUAACUUGAUUAGCUUAAACUAUUUUAGAACCUUUUUUUCUCAAUAUAAAAGAAAAAAUCAAAUUCAAAGUCUUAUAUAAAGAGAAGUUAUCUUGUUGUAACUAUAUAAGCUAACAAACAUUACGUAUGACCACCAUGCUGUAACUAUCUAAUCUAAUAUACAUCUACAUGUAUUAUAUGAAGCUGUUGCAUUAUUAAUUUGAAACGUUUUUUUUUAAUCAUUUCAAUUUUUUUACUUCAUUCAAUCUUAUUUUAUUAAAUUAUUUACUUUAUAUAUAUGUUUGUAGACACUAAUCUUUUUUUAUACCAAUUUAGUAAUUAAUUAACAACUCAAUUUAUAUAUCAAUAAUUUUUAAUUUAUAAAUUAAUAUCUAAAUUCAUCAUUAUAGUGAUCAAUUAAUUUUUUUUUCUCUAAACACACGAUAAAGAAUUCUUAAAUUAACAUUAAAAUUACAAUAAGAAUGACUAAAAAAACGAAAGAAACACAUAAUAUACAUUACAUGUGCAUUGAUGAGAAACUCGUAGAUGAACAUUUUUUAUGAGUAUGAGAAAAAGUCAAAGGUUACGGAUAAUCCUUUGGUAUGAAUACGGUAAUAUAUACGAAAUAUUUAUAUUUUUAGGGCAUAAACGCAUGUGUAUAGUAUAUUAAUGUGAAAGUCGUACGUGAACAUUUCUAUACAAGUAUGGAGAAAAAGUGAAAGGUUAGGGACUGAUCCUUUCGUAUGAAUCUGGUAUAUAUGCAUAACAUAUCAACAUCUUUUUUUCCUUAUAAUAUUUUAUCUUUAAUUUCUUUUGUCUAUAAAUACACAAGCUCCCUUAACUCGUAGUUCCACACACCAAGCUACCAAAACCAUUCUCAUCAAAACAACAGUCUCAAAACCUUUGAAAGAACAAUAUAUCUAUUUUUCUGAUAUAAUAGACAAUAAUGGCCCUCCUCAAACACCUCCUCUUCUCCUUCACCAUUUUCAUCAUUUCUUUUGUUUUUUGUUAUGGCAGCUUGCAAGAGGACCCACUCACCAAUAUAUAUGUUCAUCAUUCACCUUCCGUUGAUGAUGGUGGGACAUUAUUCAAGAACUUCAACAAGCAAAUCGAAAAUGUUUUGAGCUUAAACAGGUUUGAGAAGCCUAGCUCCCUUAAAAUGGUUAAUGUCAAUGAUUAUGGAGCUAAGAGGAAUGGUGAUGAUGACUCAGAGGUACUUCAAUACUCCCUUAGUCCAAAACAAAGGUUUUCUUCUUCUUUUUCUUUUAGCUUGCACAGUGUCUAUUAUUCAUAAUUGGAUGUGUGAUAUAUAUUUCAGGCUUUCAAAAAGGCUUGGGAUGAGGUAUGUACUUCUGGUGAAGCAAUUCUUGUGGUGCCUAAGGAUAAUUAUCUUCUCAAACCAAUAAGAUUCUCCGGCCCUUGCAAACCUAACAUUGAAGUCCAGGUUACUUACACUGAAAAUUACGCUUUCUCCUCAUUUAUGCUUCAUCUUUAAUGCAAAAAAUUUGUUUUUUUUACGGAUAUAGGUAAAAAUUUUAAAACUUAUAUAUUUAGGCAAGUCGUUGAAGAUCCAGACGACUUCAAAUAAAUUCACUCUGACACAUGAGUUAGAAGUGAAGUCGUGUAUUCCUAAAACGAUUUCAGGUCUUGGUAAUCGAUUACUAAGCUUUGUAAUCGAUGACAAAAGACUGAACUCAUGCAGAAGAGACAUAAUUUCACCUAAAAUAGACAAAAACUCUAUGAUAAUCAAUUACAAGUCUAUAAUAAUCGAUUACGAGCGAGUUUUAGUGUUCAAAUAAAGAGUUUUUUUUUGUUCUGUAAAUUAAAUUUGUUAAUUUUUAUGUAAUUAGUAAUUAUUAUAAUUUUCAUUUAAGUAUAAUAAUAAAAAUGUUAAUUUGUAUAUAAUUAGUAAUUAUUAUAAUUUUCAUUUAAAUGUAAUAAUAGAAAUGUUAAUUUGUACAUAAUUAGUAAUUAUUACAUUUUCCAUUUAAAUUUAUAUAAACGAUUAUUAAUAAAAAAUUUAUAUUUUAUAUAAUAUUUGAUUUUAUUUCAAACAUAACAAUUUAACAUAAGAUAAGAAAGUAACACUUACAACAAUUAGAAAAAUCAAACAUUUUUAAUAUGGAACAUUACAGAUGACAUAAAAAUUUAAAUUAAAAUAUCUAUUUAUAUUUUUCCUUGUUCGUUUAUGUAAUUUUAUGAUUUGAUAUUUUUGUAUUGUUUAGUAGAAAUUGGGAGACGAAUAUCUUUACUGAACAAUACAAGGAUAUCAUAUCAUCAAAUUACAGACAAAUAAGAAAAAAUAAGAAACAGAUAGAUAUUUUAAUUUUUAUGUCAUUUGUAAUGUUUCAUGUUAAGAAUGUGUAAAACUUGUGUUAUUAUUCUAAUGUUACUUUUUUUUAUCUUAUGUUAAAUUGUUAUGUUUGAAAUAAAAUCAAAUAUUAUAUAAAAUAUAAAAUUUCUAUUGAUAAUUGUUUAUAUAAAUUUAAAUGAAAAGUGUAAUAAUUACUUAUUAUAUACAAAUUAACAUUUCUAUUAUUCCAUUUAAAUGGAAAUAAUAAUAAUCAGUUAUAUUCAAAUUAACAUUUCUAUUAUUAUUACAUUGUCAUAAUGACUAAUUAUAUACAAAUUAACAAACUUAACCCACAGAAUUAAAAGAAAAUCUUUGUUUUAAUAUUAAAACUCUCUAAUAAUCAAUUAUUAGAAUUGUGUUUCAUCCAUUAUUAAGAGAGUUUUUAUCUAUUACAAGUAAAAUGUUUCCACACGAGUUUAGCCUUCGUUAAUCUAUUAAAAGGUCUGGUAAUCAAUUAUCAAGAGACCUGAAAUCAUUUUAAGGUCUAUCAAUUCAUAUCUAACUCAUGUGUGAGGGUGAAGUUGUGUAAGGAACAAGAUUUCUUCAUCCUCUAAACUUUCCCACAACUUGUCUAAAUGGGUAAUUUUUUAAAAUUUUGCUUAUAUCUAUAAAAUGUUUUUCAAAUUUGUCUAUAUACAUAAAAAAAACCAAAAAAAUUAUUAGUUAGUCCGUAUCUAUAUCAGUAACUUCUGUUAACAAAAAUGAACUACUGAUGUAAAUUUUCAGAUUUCUGGAACACUUGAAGCAGCAGACGACCCAUCAGAUUACGAGGAAGACAGCACACACUGGCUUGUGUUUGACAAUAUUAAGAACCUGUAUGUUUAUGGGGGUGGAACCCUCGAUGGAAACGGCAAAAUAUGGUGGGAAAACUCAUGCAAAAAGAACAAAAAGCGAGUAAGAUAUUACGAUAAGUCCAAUAUUAUUUUAUUUAUUAUAGAACAAUACUAUAUAUAUGUGUGUUGUGUUAAUAUUUCAAACGAAGAUUGAUUUAUAUAUUUUUCUGCUUUCUUUUGCAGUCUUGCAAGGAUGCUCCAACAGUAUGUGUAGCUUUGUCAAAGAUUAUCAAGGAAAUUGGAUUGAAAUUAAUAUAAAGCAUACAAUAUACUAUGUUAGCUAAAUUAACGAUGAUUUAAUUAUUUUUGUUUUUGUAGGCUCUGACUUUCGAAAGUUGUGAGGACUUGACAGUGGAGAACUUGAACAUAGAAAAUGCUCAACAAAUCCACGUUUCAUUCCAAGACUCCGAGAAUGUUAAGGUUUCUGGCCUUAACGUGAUUGCACCAGAGGAUAGUCCCAACACCGAUGGGAUUCAUGUCACCAAAACAAAAAACAUCCAAAUCUCAGAUUCUGUCAUAGGAACUGGUAUCCAAACGUUUUCCUGUUUAUUUUCAUAUUAAGUAAAAUCUGAUUUUUUAUAAUUUUUCUUAAAAAUAUAUAAGUAAGAAAUGAAAUAACAUACUUAUAAUUCCAAAUAAAAUAAACCACAAAAAUACUUAUUAUUCUCAAACCAAAUGGUGGUAAAACAUUAAAAUCUCAAAUGUAAAACCAGGAUAGACCGUUUCACAUUAAAUGUUGUCUAUAAAAUUUUGUAUCUAUCUUCUUAAUAGAUAUCAUUAUCAUUAUCAUUUCAGGUGAUGAUUGUAUAUCUAUUGUACAUGGAUCUAAAAAUGUAGAAGCUACAAACAUUACAUGUGGACCGGGACAUGGUAUCAGGUAAUUAGCAUCACAUCAACAAGUAUCUCUUAAAAUACUAUUACAAACUUUCCAUAUGUUAUUCUGUAUUAAUUAUUUUAUUUGCAAUGGUGGGUUGUUUCAGUAUCGGAAGCUUAGGUGCAGGAAAAUCCAAGGACGUUGUUUCAGGAAUAAAAGUGAACGGAGCCAAGCUUUUUGGAACCAAAAAUGGAGUUAGAAUCAAGACAUGGCAGGUAAAAAAUAAUUUGAACUUGUAUAUGUGCUAAAAAAGAAAGUCAUCAUAAUCUUUUGGGUCUACCCUAUAUGCAGGGAGGUUCAGGAAGUGCUAGUGACAUCAAGUUUCAGAACAUUGAGAUGACCAACGUGACCAACCCCAUAAUAAUAAAUCAGAAUUACUGUGACAAGAAAAAAAGGCCAUGCCAAAAAGCGGUAAACAUAAACAACACUUUUACUAAUGUUGAAACAAAUUGACAUAUAUCAUUAUUAUUCACGAAUGAUUAUACAUAGGGCUCGGAGAAAUCCGCUGUAGAAAUCAAGAAUGUGGUGUACGAGAACAUAAGUGGUACAAGUGCUUCUGAUGUAGCUGUGAAGUUUGACUGCAGUAAGAAAUUUCCGUGCCAGAAGAUAAAAUUGCAGAACAUAGACCUUGCAUGUGAAGGAGGAGAUGAUGCCGAGGCUCAGUGUAACAAUGUCGAUAAGCCAUCUUACAUAGGACACGUUAAGCCUCGUUGCAGUAAAGAAUAAAUGUUUUACCUCCAUGGGGAAAUACUUCUCAUAUAGAUGAAUCAUACAACACGUACAUAAAUAAAUAUAUAUAUAUAUAUAUAUAUAAGUCAUUUAAUUUUUGGAUGACAUAAUUUGGAAGUUAUUUUUAACUUCUGAAUUCUGCAAUCUGAAAAUUCAUUUGCAAGAAUAAAAUUGGCUUUUGAAUUAGAUAAUUACAAAAAUAGACAUUAUUUUAUAUAGGUAGAGGAAAAGAUUUACAGAGGUGCAGAAAGAAGCUGUCUUAGGUCCAUUGUACAAUCCAGAUUGACAAAAUCAAACCCAAAUUGCUUAUUGCUUCAUCUCUGAUUACUAAAAAAUUGUCUUCCGCUACUACACAUGUCAGAUUUCAGAGAAACAAUUGUUCUCUCAUUUUUUUAUUCUUUAUUCUCUACGGAUUCAUUAAAGAUUACUUUAAUUUAAUCAGUAAUUUGAAAUUGAAUUUUUUAAUCUUUUUAAUCAGUAAGUAUUUGGAAAGAAUAUUGUGUCACUCAGUAAUUCUAGACAACUCGAAUAUGGUUGUCUCUGUUGAAUAACACAUGCAAUUUAUAAAUAUAUAUAUAUAUAUAUAUAUAUAUAUUUAAUUUUUUAUCUUAGUGUUAAAAGUUUGUAUAGUAAAAACAAUGUUUUUGAAAAAUAAAAAGGGAAGUUACGUUUUUAUAAUCAAAAAAUAUAAAAAAUAUUUUUUAGAUCAAAGGAGUGAGCGACGAAAGCCUCGCCCGAUCUAAUAAAUCAUUUUUUCUAGGAUAACAUACACGUUUUUUAUAUUAUUUUUUAAUCAUCCUGCGACCAAAAUUCAGUAUAAAAAUCAUGAUUAGUUUCAAAUCCAAAUUUUAAACUGAAAAGGACAUAGUGAAUUUUUUCUAACAAAGAUUUGAUAAAAAGAACUAAUCAACGCCUUGAGUUGAGUGCCACAAUUUUUGUUUGAGUUUAAAAAGAAAAAUAGAAAACACGCGUUGUAAAGUUUAGAAACCACGCUACUUUUUUUUUCUUUCGGUUUAAGGAUCAAAGUGCAUGUUAAAUGGAAGUUAUACUUCAUAAAGCUUCUAGAAAUAAUAUUUUGGAAACUUUAACUUUUAAUCAUCUAACUUACUAUCUAAUGAGAUAGAUAAAGCUUCAUUGUUUUUGUCAAUAUUUGUGCAAAAUAGGUUAAGAAGUUGAGAAAGUGUUAAUUUUUUUACCCUAUAGAAAACUUUAGUUCUUAGAAUAAAAUGCAAAACUCUCCCUUUUAACUAGUUGUUGAAGCAACGGUAAGAUUCCAAUAGGGGAAUGAAAGAAAGCUUGGAAACUCUGUUUGGCUUUUUAAUGGCAUGGUGUAACGGCAUGGAGAACUUUUGCUUUGUACUAUUGAAUAGCAACUUCUUGCCAUCAUGCUGGUGGCAUCUUUAAACACACAUUUCAGAUUCUAUGAAUAAAGUUAAAUCUAAGGGGCCAAAGUAGCAAUCACCUGAAAAUUUCUGGGACACAAAUUAAACCUUCUCAUCAUGACUGCUUCCACUAACCUUCUCAUAAACAACAGUGUCAUGUUUGAAAAAUAAAUCUCUUGUAAUGCUGAAAAACUGUAGUUUCCCUUUCUUAAAACAAUCACUUCAACCGUUUUUCAACUAAGAUAAGCUAAAGACAAAUAAAAACUGUCAAAUUUUCAGAUUUAAUUUGGUUGAUUAAAAACUGAAAUACAUGCAUCCUUUAUUUUCCCCUUCUGUUCUCUGUGAAUCUCCAAGUAGCACUACUAGCAUGAUACAUCUCUGCAAAUGUUUGAAGAAACUGAAAUAUGCUCUUUUACUGGGACGAUGGUGUUUAAAGAAGAAGAAAUGAAUGAGCAACAAUAUAAAACCAAAACAGAAAGUCCAAUAGCACAACUAGGUGAAUCUAACAUGAAUAUAGGUUCUGCAACUGACACAAUGCUACUCUAUACAUCAGUUAAAGCUAUGUAACUUUUCCCCAACAUUUGUAUCACUUGGCUAGCCAAAGCAAAGCAUUUAUCAACUUCUAUACUGACUUACAAUGUUUGUGUUAGAAUAGAAUGCAUCUGAUAAGAGCCUUUCUGAUUCAUUUACUUGCAUCCCCUGCUGGUGCUGAUGCUGGUGCUGGUUUUGGUUCUUCUGGUGGAGGAGAUGGAGGUGGAAGUCCUCCAUCAAUGCAACUUCUACACUUCUUUUCAACCCAUCCUUCAAUGUCGUUCUCCCCAUUGCCCCCAAAGUGCCUUCCACCACACAGUCUAGCAAUCAUUCCUGCAAUGACACCCACUAUUGUGAUCACUGCUAUGACCACCACAAGUGUCUCAAUUGACCUAUGUGAAUAACGGUUUGGUUCCACCACUUUGGGUGGUGUCUCAACAAAGGGUUGCAUUUCACUCCCCAUCUUGAACAAAAUGAUUCUGCUGAACUCCAACACAGCCCAGAAUAUAAAGAUGAAAUCUUGGUUGGCCCAGUUGAAAAUGGUGAGCCUAUAAUGACAUAUAUUUAUUGCAAGUUAAGCAAUAAGAGAAAAAUGGGGAAAUGAGACAGCACAAAGUUGGAUUCUGGUUUCUGAAUGUGAAGCAUAGAGUACACAGUAAUAGUUUCAAAGUGAGUGGGGUAUCAUUAACUACUACUGAUAAGUGAGAAAAUGUGUUGUAGCUAUAAAAUAGGAUUCCAGUGGUUAUGAAUACAUGUAAUUUUUUUGUCUUUGGUCUUUUUAUGUUAUUAUGUUGCAUUUCUUUUUUGUUGGUCUGCUUUAUUUGACUGGUUUCCUUGUAAAAUAAAAGAAGGUGUGACUUUUGAGGUGCAAAACAUAGAUGAAGGCCAAAAGCUUCUGACUCCACAUUAACUCGUUAAUAAUAUAUGGUUUGAAAUGGGACUUAUAGCUUGUCAGAGGAGGGUGGGGGGUCUUGGAUUCAAUGGAUUGCAUUGCAAUUUGCAACCUCACUCUCAAAUUAUUUGAUUUCUCUUCCCUAGUUUGUCCUUUGUGAUGUCACAUGUUAAUGUUCAAUCUUUUAGUCUGUGACCCACCAAAAACCUGGUGAUUUUGUUUGUUUUUCCUCUUGAAAUUUUCCCUAGGCUUUUCCUCAUGACUACUACUACUAACCUUGUCUUUUAUAUGUCUUUAGCAAUUUGAGAGUUAUGAGCUCUGCAUUCCCCUCUGUGACUCAAAUUGGGUGGUUUGUCAAGUUGUAGAAACUUUAAUGAGUACGAUCACCUGAGCAUUGAAGAGAAGGGACAUCCUUUUCAAUGUGACUCAUCAGACACCUCAUGGACCAUCGUAAUUUGCUUGACUCGGAUAUAGUUCUUCUAUUAUCAACAUAAGUUUUUUUCUUCAAAAAACAAAAAGAUGACACUUGUGGGUGUAUAGUUUACCUGUCACUGUUUCAGGCAUUAGUAUUUGCAUGUUGAGUCAGUAGUGCAAAUUAAAAAUUAUGACCAAUAUGAGGACGAUUCCUCUAAAAUCAUCCAUCUUUGAAAUCAAGGAUAUUUAAAAGUUGGACUUGCAUUAAUUUAAACAAACAUAUGAAUUCAAAUUAGAUUAAUUUAUAACACAUAAAUGAUGAGUAUAAUAAAAAUGAGCAAAAGAAUUUAUAACAUAAUAUUGGUGGAGUAAAGUUUAGGUUAAUUGUUUAAGUAGGAGAAGACUUUAUGCUACAAAAAUUAGGGAUCUCCUUUUGUGUGAAGGGUUUCUAUGAAAUUUUACAACUUAAACAUGACAUGGUAAAUUAUUCAAUUUGUCCAAGUGUGUGUUACAUUCAAUUCUGGGUUGAUUCCAGUGGGGAUGACUGUGUAGAAGGAGAUUGAUUGAAAGAUUUGAUUUGUGUUGUUGGAGCAAAAUUUUUUUCUCAAACUAUGAAAUUAUGUUGUUGGAGCAAAAAUCCCUUAUAUAUAUAAAUAUUUUCUUUUUCUUUUUCUACUAGUCAUUUAGUAAUAAUCGAAAUUAUCAUUUGAAUCUUUUAAGAGUUAGCUGAUGUACCAAGGAUUUAAUAUUUCAAUUAGAAUGGUUGUUUUGUUCAAUUUCGUAACAUUGUGAUGUUCAUAUUUGGACACACUGAAGUGACAAGUGACGGAGUGGAAACGGCCGAACAAGAACCAAUUAGUGUGUUAUAUUAUUAUCGGAAUUAAUUAAAAUAGUUAAUAUUAUUGCUAAUUAUAUUUUAUUAAUAGAUUAGGUUAGAUUAGAUGAGUUUUGAAGGAGACGAUUCCCUCCUUUUCCUGGAUUUCUGGUAACUCUGUCGUCUCUUUCUUUCCACGCUAUAUCCUCUCAAUUCAACCAAAAAAAUUCUCUCUCAAAAUUCAUAUUCGAUUUUCAAUUUGUGAAGGGAAGGAGAGAGGGGAGAGAGAGGGAGAGAAUUCGUUUUCUCUCCUCUGCGUUGGGUAAAGCUUAAUUCGGAUGGGGACUCCGGAAUUUCCAAAUCUCGGCAAGCAUUGUUCUGUUUCCGAUUGCAGGCAGCUUGAUUUCUUGCCCUUCACAUGCGAUCGCUGUGAUCAGGUUUUUCAAUUCUCUCUCUCUUUUUCUUUUUUAUUAAUUUAUAUGUUUAUACUCUAUCUAUUUCAUCAUUGCAUUGCAUAGUUAUAUAUGAUUGCAUUGAAUAAUUUAUAUUUCCGCGUUUUUACCUGUCAAAUUUCAGUUUCAAAUUUUCGCAUGAAUGAAAGAAACAUAAUUAGAAGAUCUAGUAAUGGUGUUUCUAAUGCUGAUUCUCUAUAGAAAUUUAUCUUAUAAUUAAUAAAGUCGAUUUUGUUUUGUAUCGUGGCUCAAAAUCAAGAAACUGGUAGAAUUGUGGAUUUCUAUUCUUCUGGUUUUCAAUUACACUUUCACUUCUUCUCUUCAAUUUCCUCAAGUUUUUGUGAAUUUCUUUGUUUCCUUUUGUGUGUAUUUGAUCAUAUCGCUCUUAGGGUCUUGUUGAGUAAAGGCAUUGAUUAGGAGAUUUAUAAAUAUAAAAAUUUUAUUGUCAGAUAAAAUUUUUUGUGUUACUUGAAAAGAAUGCAAUAAAACUUAUAAUAAUUUAUGAACUCUUUGGUUGAGCUAACACAUGCACAAUUUCUUGCAGAUAUAUUGUUUGGAGCACCGAGGUUAUAUUGAGCACAAGUGCACAAAGCCCAACAAAGAAGAUGUCAAAGUUGUCAUAUGUCCCCUUUGCGCAAAAGGAGUUCGCCUCAUUCCAGAUCAAGAUCCCAACAUAGCUUGGGACCAUCAUGUUAACAUUGAUUGUGAUCCAUCUAAUUACGAAAAAGUGACAAAGAAGAGAAAAUGCCCUGCCCCUGGAUGCAGAGAGGUAUUGGUAUUCUCCAACACAAUCAAGUGCAGGGAUUGCCUGGAAGACCAUUGUUUGAAGCACCGGUUUGGCCCUGAUCACAAAUGUUCUGGUCCCAAAAAGUUAGAGACAAGUUUUUCAUUCAUGAGUUUAUUUAAUACGAUUAAAAAAGAGGAGCCAAAACCCAAUUUAACUUCAACAGCAUCAUCUAAGUGGACUUCAAGCUUUCUCAGCGUGGCUUCUAACAUUCGUGCCUCAGCUGAAGCGAGCAUGUCAAAAUUGGGCAAUGAAAUUAACCAAGUUUGGCUGGCAGCAAGGGAUAGUGUGGGACCGAACAGUGGCAGUGGAAAUAAAAAUGACCUUCAAGAGGAAUCUUGCCCGCAAUGUGGUGUAAAGUUUUCCUCUGCGAUUUCUUUGGUGGAUCAUGUGCAACAAGUUCAUGAAAGCAAUGGGAAACCAUUAGGGGUUAAGAAGAUUGAGGCAUGCCCCAAGUGUAGUGGAGGGUUUGUUGAGCCGGUAUCCCUAGUGGAGCAUGUUGAGAGGGAUCAUGGUGGUGGUUCUGGAGCAUAGAAAAUUCAAGUUUUUUAAUGAAUUUUCUUUUUAUACGUAUUAUUCAAUCACCAUUUUGUUCUGUUUUAUAGCAGAAGAAUGUGAAUACUAAUUUGAAAAUGAGGCUAGAUUUGUUUCCAAUGAUCUUGUAGUUAUGUCAUUAUUUAAUGUCUAGAUCACUAUGUCAUUUCUUCAAACAUUAUACCUUCAUGUUUAGAAUCAAUUGAAUGACUUCAUUUGGGCCUGUUUCCUGAUCACGUAUUCUGCUACAAUUUACAACCUGUCAUUAAUUUGCCAGCUUAAUUCAAUCAAAAUAUUUUUAAAUAUAUAAAAUUUUGGUAUAUCAGUGACUGAAAUUUAUUAUUUUAAAAGAUUAAUUAUUGAUUUAAUUAAUAAUUUGUUUCGUAUAUUUAAAUUUAUAAUUCAUUUUUAUCUUUUUUUUUUCAAUUAAAUUCAAUAUUUAUUAUGAAGAUUUUUCUAAUAUUAACAUUAUUCAAAUUAUAUCAAAAUUUGAAAAGUAUAUCAUGUCAAAUGAUUUAAAAUGUAUAACAGGUCAAAAUUAGGAUACGCAUAUAAAACCAUAGGAAUAUUAAAGUAAAUGAUAAUUUAGAUUUUAACACUUAACACAUUUUAAAUCGUAUUAAUAUCUUUUUAAUGAAAAAAAUCAAAUUAAGUUUUUUUUUUUAAAUAUAAAAUCAUAUUGAGUUUUUUUUUUUUUUUUUUUUUUUUUUUUUUUUUAAAAAAAAAAGAUUCAAUAACCAAAUUAUUAAUUAAACCUAAAUUAUUCAAAGUUAUAUAAAAACUUUAUAACUUUAUCGUAUAAAUAAACGAAACUUCCCUUUUUAACUUAUUGUUUUGAAGUGGUGUACCAUUUAGAAUUUACUUUAGCAGGGAAAAAAAACAUUCUUGGUGAGACACUUUGUGGUUGUUGUAUGGAAAAAUACAUUAAGUUAUCUCCAAGUAGCUUUUCAAGAUUUACUAACCUUUUUCAAUUAAAAAAUUUAAUAAAAAAAUUCCCGCAGUUAGAUUAAAUCAAAAAGUGAUUUCACAAAAAAAAAUCAAUUAUGCAUAUAGAGAACAAUAAGAGAAGUUGCACUACCAUGUUCACUUCUCCUGUAUUUAUCCACACAAACUCGUAUUUUUAUUAUUAAUUUGAAAAUUAUCAAUAAAAAUAACAUAUACAUAUUUAAAACCUUCAAAACAAACAACAUGCAAAUUGUUAAAAACGUUAUACAAUAGAACAAACAAAAAUUAAGAGUGGGUGAAUUGAUUUCUUAAUAAAAAUUUACAUUUAAAAAAAUUUCAAAUUAGAGUUAUAAUAUUUUUUUAUAAUAAUAACAUUUAAAUAAAAAUAAUAAAGAAAUAAAAAUUACAUAAAUUAUUUUAUAUUAAUUUAGAUUAAGAGAUCCUACAUUGAAUUCUUAAUCACUCUAAGAGAUAGAUUAAACACUAAAUUAAAGUAAGGUUAUGAGUAAGAAAAAUUUUAGCAAAUAAAACACCUUUUUUGAUAAGAAACAUUUUUCUUGAAAUUCAUAAGAGAUGAAAUGAAGACACUUAUUUUAUCUAUCCCAUGAUCAGGCCGUUACAAUAUCUGUCUCCGUGUCAAAGUAUGAAUAUUUAAGUGAAAGGUUUAUGAACUUUUGAGAUAAAAAUAAAUUGUUUUACUAAUAAAAACUUUUAAAUGUUAAUAAUGUAAAUUUAAUAAUCCUCAGAAUUAGAACUCGCAAUUUAAUAAUUAUAAAUAACAUAGUGAGAUUACAUGUCUUGAAAAUAAAUUAAGAAAAAAAAAAGAGAGAAUUGACAAUGAUUAUGUUUUUCUUUGUUUAAAUUGAAGGAUAGACCACUAUUUGUGAAGGGAGGGAAUGUGCAAAUUCUGAUACCUAAAUCUUGCUAAUUAAUCAAUCAAUAAAUGGGAUAAAUAGAAGAAAGUAUUGGAAGAGGAAGAGGAGGGAAAUGAUCCCUCACAAACCGUUUCAUCAACCUGCAAUUUUCCUUUCCUCCUCGAUUCCACCUUUCUUUCAUUCCAAUCAAUCUUUCAACAUCACAUUCUGUAAUAGAUUCACACCAUCAUUUCAUUUCUCAUUUUCAUGUUUCAAGGGAUUCCCCACCCUCCUCUUUCACACACUGGUGUCUUUCCCUCCUUCAAUUUUACAUUGUUUAUCUCCCCAAUGUUUUUUGUGACAUUUUUCUCAUCAAAUUCUGAUGUUAUAUUAAAUUUUGCAGUUUCAGGUUCAGAUUGAUCCAUCACCUGCAAAAUUUACUACAUAUGUAGGCUUGUGGUUGAAUUGAAGGGAUACCCUUUUGAUAUUUUGGCCUUUCUUUCCCUUAUGCAUGUUCAGAAUCGGACUUUUUUGAGGAAGGGAAAGAAGGCAAAUUCUGAACCAAACUUGUUAAAUUUUGUAACUUUUUUCAUCAUUUAAUUGGUUUUUGGUUUUGGUAACAAUGAGAAAAAAAGUCACUAAUAAGGUCUCCGGUGUUAUUUCCCGCCAAGUUUUGCCUGUUUGUGGCAAUCUUUGUGUCUUCUGCCCUGCUCUGAGGGCAAGGUCAAGACAACCUGUUAAGAGGUAUAAGAAGCUCAUUGCUGAUAUUUUUCCUCGUAAUCAGGUUUGUUGUUUCUUUUUUUUUUUUUUUCACUUAAUUCACCCUUUUCGCUUUAGUUCCAUGUCUCUCUAUUCAUUACAUACUGUCAUUUCAAGACUGGUUCAUUGUCCAACCCAUUUGUGUUUUGUAGUUCAACUUUUGGAUCCUUGUAUCCACAAAAACAACAAAUAGUUGCUCAUACACUUCUCCUCAUUGUUGGUGUGAAAAUCCUACUAGAGCACAUAUUGAACAAGCAAAUAAAUACAAACUUAUUUUAAUCUUGAAUUGAGGUAGUUAAGUAGGCUAGUGAGGUUCAAGGUAAGUAAACAAUCCAAUUCAAGCACAAUUAAAUAUGUGAAGUAAUGCAAGCUUGAUGUAUAUAUUAACUAAAAGAUCCAUGCUUACAUGUCAAUUAAUUGCCUUAGUUUAAUUGACUUAUUCAUUCCUUUUGUGUUCAUAUUUGUCUCUCAAAAUACCUACGACAUUGAUUUUACUUUUGUUUAUGAGAUGACAGGAGGAAGGACCAAAUGAUAGGCAAAUAGGAAAACUAUGUGAUUAUGCUGCCAGAAAUCCUUUACGCAUACCAAAGGUAUAUGCGACCUUUAAACAAAAUGUUCAUACAAGUUUAAAUUUAUUUUAAUCAUAUAUCUUGCAUACAUUGAUUCUUGUUUAUGUUCACUGAAGUUAUAUAAUUUAUCAGAUCAUGCAGGUCCUUGAGCAAAGAUGCUACAAGGAGUUACGAAACGAGAAUCUCCAUUCAGCUAAAAUAGUGAUGUGCGUUUACAGGAAAUUUUUAUUUUCUUGUAAAGAGCAAAUGUGAGUUCAUAUUUCUAUAAUCUUUACGCUUGUAUAUAGAUGGAUUUAUACAUGUCUGUUAGAGUAUAUCAGAAGUUUUUGGUAGUUCAUCAGGUAUAUGUGUUAGAAUCAAUUCAUAGUAAUCUUUUGAAUUGAUGAUAACACUUACUUUAACAAAUUGUUCAUAGAAUUUCAAUGUGUCUAUUGAGAAAUUUUGCACGAAUUUCUAAGAGAGUUUUGUUUUGUUUUGGUAAUCUUUCCUUAACCUUGUAAAGUUAAGAGAUUUGAAAACAAGUUGUGAACUUAUUUUUCUUUGUUGACACAGACCAUUGUUUGCGAAUAGCUUGCUAAGUAUUAUUCACACGCUACUAGAUCAAUCACGUCAAGAUGAAAUGAGAAUUAUAGGAUGUCAAGUUUUGUUUGAUUUUGUAAAUAAUCAGGUUGGUUUUAGUUUCUUCUACAAUUACAAGUCUUAAGUUCAAUAAUUUGAAAUUUAUAAUUCGAUUUUCAUUUCUUGUAACCUUCAGAGUUUUGACCAGAAAAACAUAUAUGUAAGCCUAUAUAUACUUUUAUGAAAUUUGCAGAAUGAUGGAAGCUACCUAUUCAACUUAGAAGCUGUUAUUCCGAAACUUUGUCUAUUAGCCCAAGAAACAGGGGAUGAUGAAAGGGCAAGAACCAGUCGUUCAACUGGUUUGAAAGCACUUUCAGCAAUGGUAUUUAUUUAAUAAUAGUUCCGCCACUGUUUUUAUUAUUAACUCCUUUAUCGAAUAAUUUAAUUCUAGUAAUAUCAUCCACCUUUUUAUAAUGGGGUAGUUGCAAUUUUGCUUUAUAACUAUUCCACAUUCCAAAUAAGUUCAUGUUAUCUUUGUAUUUUAACUUCGAUGAUCCAAUAGUUAAUUCCUACUGUAAAUCUAAAAAGUGUUUUUUUUUUCAUUUUUAAAAAUAAUUUUAUGGUCAAUUGAUAUGUUUGCUUACCAGUGUAGUUCACAAUUUUAUUUUAUUUUUAUAUUUUUCGUAAUCAUUAAAAGCUCGGAUAUAAUCUGGGUUUCAUAUUGUGACUUAAAUUUACGGUGGUAAGUAUUUGUUUCUUUUUCGGUUCACUUUUUUGAGCUUACAUACUUCUUAGACUCUGCAAAAGAUGUUGGAAUGGAAUUGAUUAUUUAUUUCUGUGGUAUUUCCCUUUUUUUCAGUAAUUUGUCUCCUUUCUUCAAUUUUAGCAUAAUUUAUACACACAUCCUUUUGAAUUAAAUGACUAUUUUGCUUUAUAGGUUCGAUUUAUGGGUGAAAAUUCUCACAUGUCGGUUGAAUUUGAUAAUGUAAGUAAAUUUUUACUUUUCAUUCUUAUGAGUACUUAGUUUUGUAAUAUUUGCAGAUAUAUAUUGUUUAGUCUGCAUCAUGCACGUUCUUGCUCCCAUCUUAUGCAAAACUACAUUUUAUAUGCUCACACUCUCUAAAUCUUUAUAAGAUUAAUUUGCAAAGAAAUGUUGGUAAUAAACCUAGUGUUAGCCAACAUUUUAAAUUGAAUUUUUUUAUACCAUUUUUCUAGGAUGUCGUAGUUAAAAGGAUUAACAAUUUAUUACAAUAGUUUGCAUUAUUAUAUGUUCAUUACUAAUGACUGUAUUCUGAGAUGUUAUCUAUAAGGGUAUUAAUAUAUUAAAAUUUUCUAUCUAUUUAUUGUAGAUCGUUUGUGUUGUCUUGGAAAAUUAUGAAAUUCCCAAGGACAAUUUAGCAAAUACUGAUGAUGAGGAAAAAGGAGUCGAGAAUUCGUGGGUCGAAGAUGUUAUGGCCGAUGAGGAUGAAAACUCUCCUUUGCAUGAUGUCAAAACGAGGAACCCUUCGUGGACGAAAGUUGUUAACGAUAAAGGCGAAUUGAUUGUAGCAAUGUAAUUAUUUUUAGGAUAGUAAAUAUUGGCAAUAAAUUUGUGCUAUCUUGCACUUAUCUCAUGGGCUUAACAUUCAUAAAUUUACACAGGGAAGAUGACAAGAAUCCCGCAUUUUGGUCUGGGGUUUGUCUGCAUAAUAUGGCCAACUUAGCCAAGGAGGGAACUACUAUACGUCGUGUGAUGGAAUCUGUAUUCCGGUACUUCGAUAAUGGAAACUUAUGGUCUAUAGACCAUGGCCUUGCCAUUUCUGUUUUGAAGGAUAUAUUAUUUUUGAUGGAUGAUUCGGGUAGACUUACUUAUUUCAUGUUAUUCUUCUCUUGUAUCAUAUGAUGUUUCGUUGAUUGUUACUACAUUUUAUGCCUUCUCUUUCAUUUUUUUGUGAAUCUUGUUGCAGAGAAAAACACACAUGUGUUGCUAUCAAUGUUAAUUAAGCACAUGGAUCAUAAAACUGUCCUUAAAGAACCUCAUAUGCAACUUGACAUUGUUGAGGUCACCACUUCACUUUCCCGAUAUGCAAAGGUCCAACCUUCUGUAUCAAUAAUUGGUGCAGUGAGUGAUAUGAUGAGACAUUUGCGGAGGUGCAUACAUUCUUCCUUAGAUGAGUCAAAGAUGUCCCCCGAUGAAAUAAACUGGCAUAAGAAUUUCAGAAGAAUUGUGGAUAAGUGCCUUGUAAAGUUGUCAAAUAAGGUACACCAAUUUUUACACAGUUUUCAUUAAAGUUAUAGUUAAACUUCACAUGACAGCUGAACCAGAAAUGUCUUGAAUGACUAAUAUGUAUGAUUUUUGUUGUCAUUAAAAUGUGGUUGAAGUUAUAAUAUAUGUAGUUGUCACACAGUAUUACAUUUAUCAUAAGAAGUAAAGGAAGAGAUCUAACCUUCUUCUACUCAUGAAUAGGUUGGAGAAGCAGAGCCGAUUCUUGAUGUUAUGGCUGUGAUGUUAGAGAACAUCUCAGUUACCACAUCAAACUCUAGAACCACAAUCCAUGCUGUAAAUAGAACUGCUCAAAUUGUAGCCUGCUUACCUUAUAAGUCAAAUCAGAAUAAGGCAAGUAGUGGAUAUUCUUGGUGUUGUUCUUUCUUUUAUGAUUCAUUGCUUUGAAUUUUAUGGAUAAAUUUGCUUAUAAAACCUUAAUGUACAUCCCAGGCAUUCCCUGAGACCUUGCUUCAUCAAUUGCUCCAGGCUAUGGUCCAUCCAGAUCAUGAAACACGAGCAGUAGCUCAUCGUAUCUUUUCUGUUAUUCUUGUGCCAGCCUCUAUGUUUCCUGGUCCAAGCUUGUCUAUUUCUGACCGCAAGCCAUCAAGUGUUCCACGAACUCUCUCACGAGCAGUCUCUGUUUUCUCUUCUUCAGCCGUCUUAUUUGAGAAGUUAAGACUGGAGAAAGGUUCAAGUGAAAAAUCAAUUCAGUAUAAAGAAAAUAAUUCUGGAGAGGUUGACUCAACUAAUAGCAAUGGUGGGAUCGUAAACAAGUUAAAGUCAAUGCAUAAUCGGGUGAAUAGCAUAAAUAAUCCUCCCCUACAAUUCGAAGUUGAUGAAAUUGCUGCAAAAAAUGAUGAUAAAAACUCGGUGAGUCUCACAUUGAUUAGUUUUCACUAAUGAUUUCAUUAUUGGAAACGUAGUAGUUAGAUGACUAAUUCUCACUUUUCCAAUAUUCGUAUAUGGGUGCAUACAAACUCCCACUCUAACCACUAUGUGCUUAUCUUAAAUUAUCUUGAGGUUGAAGUUAUCAGGGUUAACAGUGUUGAUCAAAUUUUCACUUGUAUAUAGAUGGUUGCUGCUCUUAAGCUGAGUAGGGUUCAGAUAAAUCGAUUACUAUCAUCAAUUUGGGUACAAUCUAUAUCUCCUAAUAAUGUGCCUGCAAAUUAUGAAGCAAUUGCUCAUUCAUACACUUUGAUGCUGCUUGUUUCAAGAGAAAAGGUGAUGAUUAGAUUCUUGAUAUUGUUUUCUUUCUUGGUAUAUAAUCUCAAAAUAAUUUACUUUUUUUAAAGGGGUCCUUUUUUGUGCUUUUUUCCCUUUUAUUCAUGAAAAUGUGCAUUUACAUCAUUAUUUUUUAUUCAUAUUUAAGUUUUUUAAUGUUUCAAUCCUCAAGCACAUGGAAAAAGUAGGGAAAUGGAUAAAAAUAAAGAUGGAGAAUUUGGAAUAAAAUGUUCCAUUGCAUGGAUUGGUUAUUGAUGGUGUUAAACUUAAGCUCCUAUUUGUGGUCUACAUCUUUGAUGUAAUAUCAUCAUCUUUUACGUUGCAUUUUACUUUACUCAUCUAUUUCUCUAUAAUUAUUUAUAUGUCCAUAACAACUGUAAUGCGAUGUCUAUUUUUCAUAUUAUAUUUGUGAAUGUAUUAUGGAAUGAUAAGGUCCAUCAUGUAACCUAAAGUUGUAAACUAUUCACCCAAAGAUAUAAUAUGUAUGUAAGCAUUGCUUUAGGAUCUUACAGUUAAAAUGGAGAAAUGGUCAAGGUCGUGUUGUGUAUAGUAUUUUCAUUCUUUCGUUUUAAUGAACGGGACUUUCUUUUCCUUUUAAAUUACUUUCCAAAAUUACUUUGCCUUUUGCAGAAUUCAUAUCAUGAGUUACUGGUUCGAAGUUUUCAACUUGCUUUUUCUUUAUGGAAUAUUUCUCUAAAGGAAGGUGAGUUAUUCAUAUUAUAGUUAAAUAUGAUAGAGAAUCCAAUUGGGACAUGAUUGAGUUUUUCUGGGGUCCUUUAAUAGUAUUAGUAGAUAUUACAUAUCUUUUACAUCCUAUAUUUAUAUUGGACAACAAAAUAAUCUUUUCUAUUACUAAAACUAUAUAUUAUACUCACACUUACAAUUUAUCAUCUGUAGUUCAAAAGACCUUAUUAGUCUUUUUCUUUUCCUGCAUAAUAUUGAAUUAAGUGGUACUGUGCUUCUAAUAAACAUUAGCCAAUAAUUUGUAGCUUGGAAAUUGUAGUUUGGUGAGGAGUCUUCGAAACAAAGUAGCAUAUGAUCGUUCAUUUUAUUAGAAAACAAACACAUCUUCGAACAGGAAUGAACAAGCUUACCUUUGUUGUUGGAAUGUUAGUCCUUUCAGCUCUUAGUUCCUAAUUUAUAUUGUAGGGUCAUUACCACCAUCUCGUCGAAGAUCACUCUUUACUCUGGCUACUUCAAUGAUUGUGUUUUCUUCAAAAGAAUACAACAUUGACCGUCUUGUCAAAAGUGCCAAAGGAGUGCUUUUGGAUAAAAAGGUAGUGUCCGACAAAAGUUGUCCGUCGCUUUACCUUAUUAUUUCUAAAUGUUUUCACCAUAUAACCUUUAAUGUUUUCAUCAACUGAAUUCAGAUUGAUCCUUACCUUCAAUUAGUUGAAGAUUAUAAGUUGCAAGUUGUCAACUUUCCACCAGAAAGUCUAACCAUCAUCUAUGGAUCUAAAGAAGACGAUGAUAGGGCCACACAAACGCUUUCCGAGUUAUUGGGUUCUAUUAACGAAACACGAGAAAUCUUUGCUUCUGAAAUCAUUAAGUGCUUGGAGAUGUUUGCAAAAGUAAAACUUCCACUUGUGUUUAGGACUGUCAAUAGAUAAAAACAGUUGUAUUUCUGGACAUCAUGAACCUUUUAUCAUUUAUGCAGGCUGAAUUAUCUUCAAUUAAGGAACAACUGCUGGAAGACUUUGCACCGAAUGCUAUAAGUGAACUUGGAUCUCAAUUAACAGUGAAUAUGGCCACAACGGUGACUUAAAUGGAUUUCUUUUUGGAGUUAAUAAACUUAUGUACUUUCCUAAUUACGAUUGACAGUUAAUUUCACAACUUACAGGGUGCUUUAAUGGCUGACGACUUCACUUUUGAACCAUUUGAAAGUCAAACUAAACUAAAUCAUGCUUUAUCCGUAGAGGUCCCUAGUCUUCUAAGUGCUAAUCAACUUAUAGACCUAGUACGUGACCCCUUCUUUAUUGUUGUACAUUUUUGUGUUCUUUGGAUUGUGUUUUAAGUUCUUCUAUUAAUUACACAAAAAAAUGGCAUUUCACUAUGAAUGUAGGCUUCGGAAACACCUAAUCCAGCUGGGAGGAUUUCUGUAUCAACCGCAUCUUUCAUGCCAUACAAUGAUAUGGCUGAUAAGUGUGAGGUGCUUUUGAUGGAAAAGCAUAGGAUGUCUAGAUUGAUGAGUGCCCAACAAAAGCAAGAUAGUUUAGAGGACUCUCUUCUGAUGAAUCAAAAUAACGUAUUGAAAAACAUGGAAUCCUCUAACCAAAUGGAUUUCCAGAAGGUAAUUCCUGGAGUUAAAAUUUCAUGCUUACAUUCAAUUACUACGUAUGCUUGUUUUUGUUUUUACCUAACAAAAGUUUAUUAAAUUAUCUGCAUAAAAAUGUAUGGCUGUACAUCAACUGUAUGACAUUAUAAAUGUACCUUGAAAAUAGCCUUACCCUUCAUAUACACAUACGUUUGAAAUGACUAUCUAAUUAAGUUAUAUAAAAUGCAGGUGGGCUUUCCUCCCUUUGAUGAUAAUGUUGGUGUGGAUUUAUACAGAGGAACUUCUGGUGCUCUUCCAAUGUUGUGUGCAACUGAAUAUCAAACUCUUCCUCAUUCUUUCCAACUUCCAGCAGCAAGCCCCUAUGAUAACUUUCUAAAAGCUGCUGGUUGUUGAUCUUGUAGUUAUGCUAAAUUACACACUUUACAAGCUAGUAAGAAAUUCAUGACGAAGGAAGUGAGCAGUGGAUCGCAAAGGGAAGGUUUCUAAUAAGAACUUUAAUUUCACUGGUGGACAAGGCAAAGAUAUAUCAAGAAAUAUUAGUAUUCUUAUUCUGAUCAUAUGUUCAAUUUUGAUACUUGAUUCUGUAUAAACUUUCUUUAUUAAUUGCUAUGUUGUCCACUUAGGCUUCAUACUAAGCAGCCGUUGUAAAAUGCAGAGUAUAAUUUCAGUCUGCAUUUUGUGUUCACUAUGAUCUAAUAUUUACUGUUAGAUUGGAUAAACUUAUUCAUAAGAGUAUGUAGAAUAAAAAUAAAAAGUUGUGUAAUUUAAAAUUAAUUCAUAAACGAAACCAUUUAUAAAAAUGAUUUUCGAUUAUAUUUUUUUCAAUCUAAUUUAUAACUAAUGAAUACAUUAAUUUUAGUUAAGGAAGAUGUUUUUUUUUUUUCAUUUUUUUUCUUAUUUUCUAUAUUUUAAAAAUGUUUUAUAAAGAAGUUGAUAGAAACGAACUGGUAUAGAAGUUAAAUACUGAAUUUAAUUCACUGGUUUCCCUAUUUCUGUCUGUCUCCAUAGCUACCUUAAAAACAGUUAUGCUUACCAUCUAACUAACAUUAAAACUACCAACCUAAUUAAAAAAACUGUCAACAAUUAUUACAACAGCUAUCUUAUUUUCUGCUAACCCUGCAUAACAUUAAAAUCGGUUUAUCUUCUUAUUCAAAGAAUAGUACUAAAAAAGUUAUGUUAAUAGAAUUGCAAAGAUUAAGUUUAGUUAAUUUUGGUUGGAAACGGAAUCAUAAAUUGAAAUUAAUUAACUGUGUUUGUCAUUGUAGUAAUAGUAAUGGUAGUUGAGCAACUGUUCUUCAUUAGUAGUUAAAUUAAAGAUAUAAUAUAAAACAACGUUACAACAUAAUAAUGAAUACUCAUUUUUUUUUUUUAAUGAUUUGUUGAUUUUAACUGAUUGAUCAGUGACACAUACCAUACAUACAUAAGGUAUUUUUGAAUUUGGAAUAUAAAAAAAUUUCAAAAAUAAUGUUCUGAAUAAUAUUUUCAAAUUCAAAAAAUACUUUAUGAAAAACUUGUUUCAAUUUUUUUUAUAUUUCAAAAUGAUUAUUCUAGAAAGUAUUUUAAGCCUAUAUAAUAUGAAUUUCCUAAUUAACAAUAGACUAAUCGAUUUAAUGAUGGGCCGUAUGAACAGUUGGAUUAAAUGGAUCGACCAGCACAAUUAGCAAUUUAAAAAGCAUAAAUUAAGCAUAGAAUGAAGACUAUAAUAUUAUAAUCAUGAAUUUGAUUCCCAACUUAGUCAAUAAAAUAUUGUUUUGUUCAUCAAAAUAUUACUCACAGACAAAGACUUUCGCACUAAUGACAAUUAGUCCGACAAAAAAAUUCGGUUCAUUUUGUGACUUUUUCCAUUGUAGACCUAAUCAUACAUAUAAUAUGCAAUAGAAUUAUAUGGCUCAAAAUAUUGUUUAAUCGCAAUUGGGAUAUCAAUGUAUGAAUUCUCAAUAUUAAUACGGUUUGAAGGUACAAUUUGUCUUCUUCUUUUUUCUUUCGUUUUGAGUUGGAUUAGAAAAUACUUUCAGAGUUGGAAUCCAUUCAUCAACUAAGUUGACUUAAAAACACUAUUUUCCCUACCCAUCUCAUCUCUGCCGUUUGUAUUUCAAACUACCAUGGCGGAAUCAUUUCUCUUCAGCAUAGCAGAGUCACUCAUAGCGAAGCUUGCUUCUCAUGCUUUACAAGAAGCUUCUCGAGUGGUGGGUGUAUACGACGAUCUUCGAAACCUUGGAAAGACUCUCUCUUUAGUCAAGGCUGUUCUGUUAGAUGCUCAGCAAAAGCAAGAUCACAACCAUCAACUUCGUGAAUGGCUCACUCAACUUAAAAUUGUCUUCUCCGAAGCAGAAGAUGUUUUGGAUGAAUUUGAGUGUCAAACACUGCAAAACAAAGUGGUCAAAGCUCAUGGUAGCACCAAAGACAAGGUAAGUCACUUCUUCUCCACCUCUAAUUCACUUCUUUUUCGCUACAAGAUGGCACAACAAAUUAAAUAUAUCAACAACAGACUAGACAAGGUUGCAGCGGAUAGGCAUAAGUUUAGUCUUCAAAUAAUUGACGUUGACACACGUGUUGUUCAUCAGAGAGAUAUGACACACUCCCGUGUGAGUGAUUCAGAUGUAAUAGGAAGGAAAAACGAUAAAGAAAAGAUCAUAAAACUUUUGAUGCAGCAGAAUCCUAAUGAUGAUGAUACAAGUCUAUCUGUUACCCCAAUUGUGGGGAUUGGAGGCUUGGGAAAGACUACACUUGCAAAGUUUGUGUUCAAUGACAACAGGAUCGAGGAAUGCUUCCCAUUGAAGAUGUGGGUGUGUGUUUCUGAUGACUUUGACAUUAAGCAACUUAUUAUCAAAAUCAUCAAUUCUGCCAAUGAUGCAGAUGUUCCUCCUCACCAACAGAAUUUGAACAUGUUGGACUUGGAGCAACUGCAAAACCAAUUGAAAAGCAAACUUUCCGGUAAAAAAUUUCUUCUUGUUUUGGAUGACGUAUGGAACGAAGACCGUGUUAAAUGGGUUGAGUUGAGGAAUUUAAUCCAAGUGGGUGCAGCAGGAAGUAAAGUUGUAGUGACCACACGCAGUCAUUCGAUUGCUUCCAUGAUGGGUACAGUUCCCUCUCACAUUUUAGAAGGUCUUUCGGAAGAGGAGUCACUGUCUCUGUUUGUGAAGUGGGCAUUUAAAGAAGGAGAGGAGGAAAAACAUCCUCACUUAGUAAAUAUUGGCAGAGAAAUUGUGAAAAAAUGCAAAGGGGUUCCACUGGCAGUGAGAACGGUAGGUAGUUUACUAUUCUCGAAAUUUGAGGNNAGUGAAUGGNAAUAUGUGAGUNNNANUGAAAUCUNGAAUUUGCCUCAGAAAAAAGAUGACAUUUUACCUGCCCUUAAACUGAGUUAUGAUCUCUUGCCAUCCUAUUUGAGGCAAUGUUUUGCAUUGUUUUCCCUUUAUCCAAAGGAUUAUNNNUUCNNUAGUNAUGAAAUANCUGNGAUUUGGGGGUCACUUGGACUCAUUGCACUACCAAAAACGAAUAGGACACUUGAAGAUGUGGCCAAUCAAUAUUUGCAUGAACUCCUGUCAAGAUCCUUUCUCCAAGAUUUUGAAAACUUUGGCACUUCUUACAGUUUUAGAAUACAUGAUUUAGUGCAUGAUCUCUCCCUAUUUGUUGCGACGGAUGAGUGUCUACACGUGAGUUUCAACAUUCAAAAUAUUCCAGAAAAUAUUCGGCAUCUGUCUUUUGCUGAAAGCAGUUUGUUUGACAAUUUAGUGAUAAAAAAAUCAGCAGCUGUGAGAACCGUACUGUUUCCGAAAGGUGCAGUAGGUGCCGACGGUGAAACUAUACUAAAUACGUGUCUGUCAAAGUUCAAAUGCUUGCGAGUUUUGAAUUUAGAUGGUUUGACAUUCGAGACUUUGCCCCGUACCAUUGCUAAGAUGAAACAUUUGAGAUAUUUGAACAUUAGCAAUAAUCGCAAGAUUAAGAGACUCCCCGAUUCUAUUUGUAAGCUUCAAAGUUUGCAAGUGUUGAUAAUUAGCGGAUGCAUAGAGCUGGAAGUAUUGCCCAAAGGAUUAGGAAAAUUAAUCAAUAUCCGUCAUUUGUUGUUUAGCACAAAGCAAGUUGUUUUGCCUGUGAAUGAGAUGGCCAAAUUGGGGUCGCUUGAAUACUUGAGUGUUACAUCAUGCCAUAAUGUGGAGUCCAUCUUUGGAGGAAUAAAAUUCCCUUCUCUUAAAACAUUGUGCAUUAUGAACUGCCAGAGUCUAAAGUCAAUGUCGCUGGAUGGUCAAAAUUUUCCUGAAUUAGAAACAUUGGUUGUUGUGGCCUGCGAUAAUUUGGACAUGGAACUGUGGAAGGGUGAUCAUGAAGAAGAAAGUCCGAAGCUGAAGUUAAAACUUGUAUUUUUUAGCAAUUUAUCACAGCUGGUGGCAUUGCCUAAAUGGGUUCAGGAAGCUGCCAACUCCUUAGGGUGCUUGAUUGUUUCAAAUUGUCACAAUAUUGAAACACUUCCAGAUUGGUUACCAGCUCUGACUAAUCUGAAAUCACUUCAUAUAAUAGGUUGUCUAAAUUUGGUAUCUAUCUCAGAUAACAUUCAUCUUCUCACUGCACUUGAAAUUUUGAAAAUUAGUGGCUGUCCUAACUUAUAUAAAAAAUAUGAACCUAAUGUUGGAGAGUUUUGGCCCAAAAUAUCACACAUCAAAGACAUUGUGAUUUAUAAACCAAAAGAACCUAAGAAGAAUUAGAGGAAGAGCCAGACAGUCGGAAGCCCCUUUUCUGGAUGUGUAUUCAUAAUGUUGAUUUUCUUUGUGUGGUUUUCCAGUUUUUCUGUCGUGAAAAUUAGUUGGAGCCAGUAGUUAAGGCAUUUCAAUUUAGAGAGACCUCCAUGAUAUAAUUUUGUAAUAGUGCUAUAUUUGUUAUUUCUAACUGCUUUGUUUUGUGGAUUAUUGAUAUUGAUGUACUCAACUUCAGUAUUUCCGUGACCUAAAUAUUGUCUUUCACUUGUGAAAAAUAAAAGUAGAAGACAUGUAUAGAAGUCUGAAUAUUAGACUACUUUUGCACUAUACCUUAUGGCUUUUUUAUUUUAGAGUUUGCAUUACUAGAACUUUUAAUAUAAUUUUUGUAAAAGUUUGUUAUCCAGAUAUUUUAUCUUUUACAUUUUAUUUCCAUUAGUUACUGUAAUUUCAAAUAGAUAUAAUAUUCUUACACUUUUUAAUUUCAAAUAGUGUGAUUUAAAAAAAUAUAUAUUAUUUGUAAACUGUUUAUAAGUUAUUUAUAUAAUUUUUAAUUAAAUGUAAUAAUUGAAUUAAUUAAAAUAAAUAAUUCAUAUAUAAAUAAAAUAACGAUUAAUAAUAUUAUAUAUUUUAAGAAUAAUUAGUAAAAUAUUUUAUUUUAGUACAUAUUUUUUUUUUUACAAAUUUAAUAUGUAUAUUUCAGAUGAACCUUGAAAAUAAAGUUCAAUCUUAAAAAAUAAUUGACUUUAAUUGUUAUUUAUUCAUUUAAAAUCUCCGAAUGCUUAAUAUCUUUCAAAAGUUUUAAUGUUAAUUAUUCACCUUGAAUUUUAUAGUCAAAAUAUACAUUAACUUAAAUAAUUUCUUCUUCACCAACUAUUAAAGAUAAAACAAAACUAUUCACUUAUUUUACUGAUUAAAUUUAAGACAAAGUAUUGUUUUAUCAUCAAAAACAUCAUGACACAUCAUAAAAAAAAUCAAGACAAAUUCAACCAACCAAAAAGAAAAUAAAUAUAAUAUAUUAUUUUCAAUUAAACUAUAUUGUGGGAUGUAAAUAUUUUUUUGACAUUUUAUUUAAAUUCAUAUCUCUAAAAAAGAAACAAUGUCCACCAUUGAGACUUUUUUUUAAAAAAAACAUAAAUACAAAAUACGGACUUUUAAAAAAAAUAAAUAAACAUAAAGAUAAAAUACAAUAUCUCUACUCAUUGAAUAAAAUUUCAAUCUUCUAGAUUUGUUAUCAUUUUUUAACACAACAUUGUUCACUUCUUACAACAUAUUGUCAAAACAUAACUCUAUCACAAAAUUUAGUAUAUAAAAAUAAAGCAAAUACAAAUAAAAAAAGCAUAAAGAAAAAUCAUUUCUGAAAAUAGAGAGAAAAAUAAGAUAUAAUAUAUGUGUAGAACAUUAAAAAAUAAGAAAAGUUAUUAAAUGAGUAAUAGUUGAGUGAAAUACAUUUAUAUUUAUUUGAUACAUAUUAUAUUUUUCUAAAAAAAGAAAAAAAUAAAAAGUAAAAAAGAAUAAUAUCAAAUGUAAAAAUGAAAAAGAUAUAAUAUUGAAAUAAAAAAAUACAAAUAGAAAAAAAAAACAUAAAGAAAAUAAUUUCUGAAAUAAGAUAUAACUAUCUUGUAGAACAUUAAAAAAAAUAAGAAAAGACAACAUUACAGUUUUUUUAUAUAAGUAAUUUAAAUGGACAAUCUUUUACUAGUUUAAUGUGAAGACUUAUGGACUUCAAAAAAUAUGUCAUCGUAUUUUUGUGUUUGAACUAAACUAUUAUUUUAAAAAGUAUACAUAUGGAGUCACAUGAAUAAUGUUUUCCUCUUCUUAUUUUUUUCAUAACUAUGAAUAUUAUUAUAACUAUAAUCAUGUUUUUAAUUUUAUACUUCACAAAAUGGUUUCUGGAAGACAAGGAUUUAGAGAAUGAUCAAGAAAGAUUGUAGAAAUAUGAUUUGCAAGGAUAAUAAGAAUGUGUAAGGCACAAAAUCGGGUUUAAGAAAUAAUAAUCCAUACUAGAUCCACAAUAAAUAUAUAUAUAUAUAUAUAUAUAUAUAUAUAUAUAUAUAUAUAUAUAUAUAUAUAUAUAUAUAUAUAUAUAAAAUACACGUCUAAUUUGUUUUCUUGAAAACUUAUUUUCAGAAUAUAUUUUUUAAAAUUUAAAUUUAAAUAUUUCGGAAAGUACUUCAUCAAAUAUUAUUUUUUUUAGAAUACUUUUCGUAAUGACAGUUUUUUUAACUUUCAGAAAACAGUUUUAGAAUAUUUUUUAAGCUUCAAAAAGUAUUUUCAUGAAAUUUUCAAAUUUUAAGGCAAUCUAAAAAUAGUUUCUGGAAAAAUAAUAUUUUUAAAAAUAUAAAAUAUAUUAAUAAAUCUGGAAAGUAUAUAUAAAUAUCAACUGACGUUGAAAAUAGUUUGGGCUGUAGAAUAAUGGGCCGAGUUGGUAAAGUAGCCCGGCCCAUAUAUGUAUUGAAUGCAGAAAGUGAAGUAGAAGCGUUCUUGUUUCUCUUCUUCCAUUUCGUUCUUUCGCUCAAUAGAUCUCGAGUUUCAGGUACGAACCCUAGACUUCUUCUCUUACCUUUUCGAUUUCAUGCCUCGCAUGAAUUUAUCUCAAAUGUCUUAUUUUUUUUUUCUCGUUUAAUUUCUGCGCUUCUUUAUCAUCUUCACUGGGUUGAUUAUCUGAAAAUUCAAUAGACUCCAAUUAGGACCGGAUGUAACUUUUUUUUUUCGACUUUUAAUUUUUUAUUACUUUAUUCAACCAAUACAUGGCACAAUUAGGGAUGUGUUGCCUGUACCAAAUUUACAUUUUCUGCGCAAAUUUGAUUUCAAUUUCAAAUUUUCCCCUUGAAAUUUGCCUAAUCUCCUGUAAACUGGUUUCUGUGAGAAUCUCUUACCUUCUCUAUUCUUUCUAUGCUCAGUGGUUUCAAUGAAGAAGCUUGUUUGCUUUCUCGUGAUGGACUUUAUCAUGUAAAUACAUCAAAUCAUAACGUCUUUUACAUAAUCGCCUAACCUGUAGGCUUAUUAAUAUUUUGGAUGAUAGGUCUUAAAAGUUUUCCCACAUGCAAUUCAAGGGUUUUGUUCUUACAACUUUCGGUUGAUGUAUCAUUCCAUAUGAUUUGACUCCUCACGGUUUCUAUUUUCUUCAGUUUUGUCAUGUUAAUCCAUUCAACCAUCUCCUGAAGCUAGCAUUUUGGGUUUAUUUAUAUUUUUUUGUUGUGGGUUGCUAUCUAAUAUCCUUGAGUCUCGAGUUGUUCGUUUGUUUUGUUAAUCUAUACAACAAUCUCCUUAAGCUAGCAUUUUGUAUUUGUUUAUAUCUGUUAUUGAGCGUUGCAGUCUAAUAUCAGAGUCUCGAGUUGUUAGGUUGCUUAGCAUUUAAACAGCGUGUAGUUUUUGUCAAAGGGAUUUCCACUGCUAUAUUCACGAGUUUGUAAGAUUUUGGCAAUGUAGUUGCUUUACCACUUUAACCAACACGCUUUCAUUCAUUUUUUUGGUGCCUGUGUAGUGUAGUUUAGUGUGAAAUUCCACAUUGAUUGUUUUUUGCAAUUUUAUUGUGUCGUACAAUCUGUUUAAUUGGAUAGGAAUGAUUUCUCUGCCAUUCAUGUAGCCGUUUUCUUUCGAUUUUGAAUUUUGAUUUAUUUAUUCUUUUGUUUUUUAGCGUAUUCUGCAGUCAUGUCAACCAAGUAUAUCGUUUCUGCCAUUCUUGGAUCGUUUGGAAUUGCAUGGGUUUGUGAUUAUUAUGUUUCAGAAAAAAAGAUAUUUGGAGGUGAGUAGAGUCUUCCACCUGAAACAAUUUGCUUUCUGGCUUUGUUUUUAGAGUGUGUAAUUCCCCUAACUGAUUUCUUCAGGUAGUACCCCUGGCACUAUUACAAACAAAGAGUGGGGGGAAGAGACUGACAAAAAAUUUCAGGCAUGGCCUCGUACGGCUGGUCCACCAGUUGUGGUGAAUCCCAUAACUCGCCAAAAUUUCGUCGUCAAGUCUCGCUCUGAGUGAUAAUUUUUUGUUCAUGAAUUUUGAGUUAAUUGGUGCACACCUUGAUCAUGGGAAUAUGUUCCCGUAACUCCUCCAGUUCAAUUAGUGUUUCUAUGUUUUAACGUAAAUGUUUACUUGCUUAAUAAAAGGUUAUUUAAACAAAAUGGAUUGAUUAAUGCAUAUUCUUGUAUUCAAAUUCUCUGUUUAGUCUCUACCUUGGUAUGAAUGUGAAUCAAUGCGUGAAAUUAUGUUUAGCAGAGGUAUUCUAAAAAAUAUUACUAGUGGUAUAUGCUACUAUCGGGUGCAUUUAGCCACUGCCAUUCGGUGAGAGCAAUCAACUUUGGAUUGUUUCCCCUUGCUUUAAAAUUACAAGUGCGGUGUUGAACGUAUAGUGGUUAAUUGAAUUUUUCCAUGUGCGUGGAAUUGUUAAUUUAUUAGUUUGCAUCAUGGUCCAUUCUCAGUAAUUUGUGAAUCUCUCACCAAAUCCGAGUGAGGGUGUUCUGAGAGCAAGUUUUAGCUUUAUUCAGCGGUAAAACAACACGCAGAAAACUCAUUCUUAAUAUGAUUGUGUGGAAAGACAAUUGCUGAUUUACUUGAUUUCUGGUCUUUUUGCUGGCUUUUAGAAUUUAUUGUUGGGUUGCAGCUGGAGAACGUCGCCCUUUGACUUGUCGAGAUGUGAUAGUGUUUGGGAGGAAAAAAAUUGGAUGAGAUAGAAAUAUAUAAGAAUAGUAGUGAAUUGAAAUUGUUAAGAAAUGAAAGAGAAAUAUAGAUGUUUGUUUUAAGAAAAAUUGGACAGAGUAAAACAAGUAUUUUUCAUAUAAAGACUGAUUGUGAAAAACUGAUAACUGAAACUGAUAAAGAAUGUUCGGGACUUGUAUCCAGGAUAAUGCAGUACUUUCAAUUAUCUAAAGUCGUAAUAAAAUUAAAAGAAUAUUUAACAAAAAUGUAUUUGUCGUUGGUUUUGUAAUCAUGACCGUGAUUGCACUUUAUUCUCUAGAAGUGCAUUUCCCGAAUUUAGAGUAGCCAAAUUAAUUAUACAAAAUUGGGAAUGUAUUAUGAAUAAUUUGAAAACAAAUUAUUUGAUGAACCAGCCAUUGGUUAACACGUGUUUUUUUAUAACAUCAGGAGAAAACAUACGUGUCAUUUUUUAGUUUAAAGUACAUCAAUAAAAUAAAAAAUAAAUAAUGAAUCAUUGAAAAAAAAAUGACAUGUUGGUUCAAAAUAUUAUAAAAAAAUUUGUGUUAAAAUAUUUUUUUUCUAAAAUUUGUUUUUACCCUAGUGAUAUUAUAUUAACUUUAUCUUAUAGUUUGACAACUGAAGUAAACAAAAACAAGUAUCUAAAAAUCAAUAUUAUCUCACAACUCAAAUAUAAGGAAAAAAGUCACAAGAAUUAAAUAUGGAUAAAUUUCAAUCCUCUAAACCUUAUUUAUGCUACUAUUUUAAAAACUACUUUUAUUUUUAGAUCAAACGUAAUUUUUAAUAAAAAUAUAAUUUUCGGACAAAAUAUAUCGUUUAUUAUAUAUAGAAACAAUAAUAUUAAAUAAAUUUAACUACUAUUCUUGAUUAACAUUGAAGUAAUUAGUUUUACAUAUAAUUAAGUCCAAAUUUAUAUAAGUUUACUAGAAUUACACAGUUCGACAUGAACUAAACACACGUGCAAUGCGAAAAUCAUGUCACUUUGUAUCAAACACCAUGGUGCUUCUGGGUGGACAUGCGUAUGUAUAAUGGAAGCCGAGAUUUUGACACUCCUAUUUUGACACAACUUUAAUAACGCCACAUGUCACCUUUCUAUUGGGCGAAAUUUUUAAAAAAAAAAUCAGCAUUUUGACGUCAUGCAGUUGGAGAAAAUUUUAAUAAUUUAUUUCCAUCUUUGCCCUUCAGCAGAAUCAUGUGAUUGUAGUUAUGUUUCUUCGUGUCUUCAUCCGAAACCACCACUUCUUCCGAUACGUGAUUUUUCUAGGGUAACGGUGUUGGGAAAUCGUUUUGGGUUUCUUUUUCCGGCAUUUGAGUGUCNUUCGUGGUUGGGGUUGCAGUGGAGGCUUUCGUUAUCGGUGUGGGUGUGGCGUUCAUUGGCUGUCGUCAUUGUUGGUGUGUUGGGCUUGCGAAAUGACGACUUCUUCGACGACGAGGGUAAGGGCAUCGUACUNUGGGUGUC
rnacentral:lncRNA from 1 species